UUCUGUUUCGCUGCCGCAACUGAACCUGCUGCAGCGAAUUGAUAUUCGCUGCCGAUUUGUGUGUUGCGCAGCGAAAUUCUGUUUCGCUGCCGCAACUGAACCUGCUGCAGCGAAUUGAUAUUCGCUGCCGCUUUGUGUGUUGCGCAGCGAAAUUCUGUUUCGCUGCCGCAACUGAACCUGCUGCAGCGAAUUGAUAUUCGCUGCCGAUUUGUGUGUUGCGCAGCGAAAUUCUGUUUCGCUGCCGCAACUGAACCUGCUGCAGCGAAUUGAUAUUCGCUGCCGAUUUGUGUGUUGCGCAGCGAAAUUCUGUUUCGCUGCCGCAACUGAACCUCCUGCAGCGAAUUGAUAUUCGCUGCCGAUUUGUGCGUUGCGCAGCGAAACUGUGGCGCCAACAGCGAUGCAGUUUUCGCUGCCGAACUGGCUGCCGGCAGCAAAACAGGUGUCGCUGCCGAACUGGCAGCCCGCAGCGAACCAGUUCUCGCUGCCGAAUUCCUACAAUAAGCCUCCUAGGCAGGAAUGACUUAAAUGCUAGUAACAAUUUCAUGUUAUGAUGAUGUAAAAUAGGGAACACUUGAAUGUGAACAUAUGAACUCUUGAAAUAAGUGUGAUGAUGAGUAUGAUUCAAGAAUAAAAUAAAUACAACUAUGCUGAUUUGUGACCAUUGAUGUCUUAGGUGGUGCGGUCGGGAUUGGACCAUCAUCAAGACAGGAUCGACCCACAGGUGGAGCAGGUAGGUGACUUGCACCUUCCUUUUUCUUACGUUGAAUCUUGAAAUAUUUUAACUUGAGUACUAUCAUAUUGUUAGAACCGAUAUUAGAUUGUUGAACGCUUGAAUGUUGACAAAAGAUUGAUUAGCUUCGGCUAAUGGCAUCCGAAUGGAUGGCCGGGACAAAAGAGUGAUUAGCUUCGGCUAAUGGCAUCCGAAGGGAUGGCCGGGACAAAGAAUGAUUAGCUUCGGCUAAUGGCAUCCGAAAGGAUGGCCGGGACAAAGGAGUGAUUAGCUUCGGCUAAUGGCAUCCAAACGGAUGGCCGGGACAAAGAAUGAUUAGCCUUGGCUAAUGGCGUCCGAAUGGAUGGCCGGGAUGAAGGACUGAUUAGCUUCGGCUAAUGGCAUCCAAACGGAUGGAUGGCCGGGAUAAAAGAGUGACUUCGCUGCCGAUUCUGGAUCGGCAGCGAUGCAGAUUUCGCUGCCGAUUCUGGAUCGGCAGCGACGCAGAUUUCCGCUGCCGAUUCUGGAUCGGCAGCGACGCAGAUUUCACUGCCGAUUCUAGAUCGGCAGCUACGCAGAUUUCCGCUGCCGAUGCUGGAUCGGCAGCGACGCAGAUUUCCGCUGCCGAUGCUGGAUCGGCAGCGACGCAGAUUCCGCUGUCGAUUCUGGAUCGGCAGCGACGCAGAUUUCCGCUGCCGAUUCUGGAUCGGCAGCGACGCAGAUUCCGCUGCCGAUUCUGGAUCGGCAGCGACGCAGAUUUCCGCUGCCGAUUCUGGAUCGGCAGCGACGCAGAUUCCACUGCCGAUUCUGGAUCGGCAGCGACGUAGAUUUCCGCUGCCGAUUCUGGAUCGGCAGCGACCCAGAUUCCGCUGCCGAUUCUGAAUCGGCAGCAACGCAGAUUCCGCUGCUGAUACAGAAAUCGGCAGCGACGCAGAUUCCGCUGCCGAUUCUGGAUCGGCAGCAACACAGUUUUCGCUGCCGAUUCCUUGAUCGGCAGCAAUGCAGUUUCUGCUGCCGAUUUUGGAUCGGCAGCGACGCGGCUUUCACCAUGGAUGGCCGACACAAAUGAAUGACUAGUUUUGGCGAAUGGCAUCCGAAAACUUGUAUAUCUAUAUGUACUACUAGUUGUUGUAGCAAAUACAUGAAGAAAUUAUAAUUGUUAAUGUUUUAUUUAAUUGCCAAACCGUGAGUUACCAUUCUUAUUAUUAUUAAAUAUUUGCAUUCUCUUAAAUGUUUGUACUGCUGCAGGGACUUCACACCAACGAGAUGUCUAGGAAACCCGAUACACGGGAACCUAUUUUGCAAGGAAUUAUGUAGAUGUAUCUUAAAUCACAAUGUAUUUUGUAUGGAUCAAUGUACUGAAUGUAUAACUUUUAUUAGAUCCUUUUUGUUUAAAAUUGUGAUGACUAUUAGUAGGAGAAGACAAACUCAUGUCUAUGUAUAUAUUUUUAAUAUGAACUUCAAAUCAAGCAACCUUAAUAUUACGUGUUUGUGUAAGAUUCACUUUGAAAUGAAAUGUUGAUUGUAUGGAUUGUAUUUCGAUGAUGUGAGGAUUUAGAUUCAUUGAUUGCCGGCACCAUGUGGAUAAAAAAAAAAAAAAAAAAAAAAAAUUACUGUUGUGUUGGGCUUGGAAAGCCGGGUUGUUACAGUUGGUAUCAGAGCACUUGGUAUGGAUCCUGAGGAUCAUUAAUAAAUGUGUUGUUGUGAUGAAUUUCAGGAUGGUACGCACCCGACAAGGGACACGAACUGAGCCGCCCUCCUUAGAAAGGAGGGGCGUGAACCGAGGUGCCCAAGGUUGGCAAGACGAAGACCCCUUAGAUGAUACGGCAUCUCAUGCUCCGAUUAUACCACCCGAAACCCUGCAGGGGGAAGAUACGGUGGCGGGGGAAGGCUCGAGGCCUAAUCAAACAGAGGGAACACCCCCCGUGGCAACAGAGCAGCGAGAAAGAACUGAAGCACAACCAUCUGCUGUUCCAACUGGUGUGCCCCCACAAUAUGUAGAUGCGGGAUUCCUUGUACAAAUAGUUAAAGCAGUGAUGGAGGGCAUGGCUAGUUCAGCGGCACAAACAACUCCCACCACGCAGAUUCCACCAGCAGCCCCUACGACUAGCAUGACCAUGGAUAAUGUGGUACCACUGGUGCGACUAGUCAAGAGUAUGAGGGAAAUGGGCUGUGAACCGUAUAUGGGGGAACAAGAUGCAGAGAUAGCUGGAAGAUGGAUCAGGAAGGUAGAAAAGACAAUGAUUCAAAUAAGCAUACCCGAGGGUUUGAGGGUAAAUUGUGCAUCCCAGUUACUGUCUGAUAGGGCCAUGACAUGGUGGGAAACAGUUCAGCUGAGGCGUGCGACUGAGACACUAACUUGGAGUGAUUUCAAGACAGAGUUUGAGAAUCAGUUUUAUUCCAAGUAUCAUCGCAAGGUGAAAGAACAAGAGUUCUUGGCAUUGAGACAGGGUGAUAUGUCAGUAUUGGAGUACGAAAGGAGAUUUCAUGACCUUUCAUUGUUCGCCCCACAUUAUGUGCCGACAGAGGAACAUAUGAUUGAAAAGUUGAGAGAUGGGUUACGACAGGAUUUGAGACAAGGAUUGAUCGCCUUGCGAUUUAAAUCGGUGAGGGAGUUGAUUGAGGCUGCACAAGCUCUGGAGGCAUGUAUUGGAGAAAGCCAAGGGGGGUAUCAGAGUAUAAGCAAAAAGAGAGAUGGGGACUAUUUCAGCGGCAGACCACCGCACCCGAAGAAAGGAAAAAGUGGAGUGUUUGAGCAGCACGGAAAAAAGGGGAGUUUGAUAUUACCGCCUCACCAGCAAUCAAGUGGGAGAGUAAUGGUUGGACAGUCGCACUCGAGGGCAAACUCUUCUACUGGGAUCGGUGACCGCAAGGGUGUUGACUAUCCUUUUUGUGUAAAGUGUGGACAAAAACACCCUGGGGAUUGCUCAGUUUCCCCCGGGCGAUGUUUUGUGUGCAGAGGAGAGGGCCAUAGGUGGAGGAAUUGUCAGUAUCUUAAUCAGGGGUGUCAUUACUGUGGUGGAAGAGGUCAUUACAAGAGGGACUGCCCCAAGAGGAACACUGGACAAGUACAGAGCUACAGACAGCCGAGUCAGAGCCACCAGCAGUCAGUCACCGUUAAUAGGCCAGUGAGAUCUUCUCAAUCAGGGGCAAACUCCAGUCGAGGGAAGACGAGGGCACAAAAUGAUCGGACCUCGGGGAGGGUCUUCCACCUGACACAGGAGGAGGCCAGGGCUGCAUCAGAUGUGGUGGCAGGUACACUUCUAUUGAAUGGUUUUAAUGUGCAUGUGUUGUUUGAUCCGGGUGCCACCCACUCAUUCAUUGCUAAGAGAAUUGUCACUAAAUUGAGAAAGGAAGUAAAAAUGGUAGAGAAGGGGUUUGUAAUUGGAACUCCAAUGGGAAACAUGGUUGAAACAAAUAUUGUAUAUGUGGAUGUGGGGGUUAGUUUAUCCGGGUAUGAAACAGAAGUAGAUUUGAUUCCCUUAGAGCUGCAUGAUUUUGACAUAAUACUAGGCAUGGAUUGGUUGAGUAAAUACAAAGCACUAAUAGAUUGUUAUGCGAAAACUGUCACUUUCCAAACACCUAAGGGCGAGAAAAUAACUUUUGAAGGAGAGAGACUUCCCAAACUGAAUGCUUUAAUAUCGGUGGUAACAGCCCAAAAACUUUUAAGAAAGGGAUGUAUGGGUUACCUCGCAUACAUCUUAAACUCUAAUGAUGAAGGUCCACGAUUGAAGGAUAUUCCUGUGGUGAAGGAUUUCCCAGAUGUGUUUCCAGAAGAACUACCAGGACUACCCCCGGAGCGAGAGGUAGAGGUGUCUAUAGACACUUUUCCUGGAGUUCCACCUAUAGCCCAACAACCGUAUCGGAUGGCUCCAGCAGAACUGAACGAGUUAAAGACUCAAUUACAGGAAUUAUUAGACAAAGGGUUCAUACGGCCCAGUAAUUCUCCUUGGGGAGCACCGGUCCUAUUUGUAAGAAAGAAAGAUGGAACCCAUAGGCUUUGUAUUGACUAUCGACAGUUGAACAAAGUAACAAUGAAAAACAAGUAUCCGUUACCUCGGAUAGAUGAUUUGUUCGACCAAUUAAAGGGAGCGAGGGCAUUCUCGAAGAUAGAUCUGAGAUCAGGGUACUAUCAGAUGAAGAUUAAAGAAGCGGAUGUAGCAAAGACCGCAUUUAGAACUCGUUACGGACACUAUGAAUUUUUGGUGUUACCGUUCGGGUUGACGAACGCCCCAGCUCUCUUCAUGGAUUUGAUGAAUCGGGUUUUCCAACCAUACCUGGAUAAGUUUGUGGUGGUAUUCAUUGAUGAUAUACUGGUGUACUCGAAUUCUUUCAAGGAGCACGAAGAACACUUGAGACAAACCUUACAAACCUUGAGAGAUCACCAGCUAUAUGCAAAACUGAGUAAAUGUGAAUUUUGGCUGAAAAGAGUGAUGUUUUUGGGACAUGUCAUAUCAGCCGAAGGUGUUUUUGUCGACCCUCAAAAAGUCGAAGCAGUCGUGAAAUGGGAAAGACCGACUUCGGUCACUGAAAUACGUAGUUUCCUGGGACUUGCAGGAUACUAUCGGAGAUUUAUCGAAGGUUUUUCCCUGAUUGCAACCCCUUUGACCCAGCUAACUAGGAAGGAUAAGAAAUGGGUGUGGUCAGAAGAAUGUGAGGCAAGCUUCCAAGAAUUGAAGAGGAGGCUCACCACUGCUCCAGUCUUAACUCUUCCCUCAGGGACCGAGGGUUUUGUGGUAUAUAGUGAUGCCUCGGGGAAGGGAUUGGGGUGUGUUUUGAUGCAACAUGGGAAGGUGAUCGCCUAUGCAUCAAGGCAAUUAAAGACUCAUGAGGUGAACUACCCGGUGCACGACCUGGAGUUGGCAGCUGUAGUAUUUGCCUUGAGGAUAUGGAGACACUAUUUGUAUGGGUCUCGAACCCAAAUUUUUACUGAUCAUAAGAGCCUGAAGUAUCUGAUGUCGCAAAAGGAGUUGAACAUGCGGCAAAGAAGGUGGAUAGAGCUCAUUAAGGAUUAUGAUUGCACCAUAGAAUACCACCCGGGGAAAGCAAACGUGGUGGCAGAUGCCCUCAGUCGCAAAGGUAAAGCCUCCUUGGGAAGCUUAACAGUGGGAAAGGAGCGGCAAUUGGCAGAAUUAAAAGAGUUGGGUGCAGAUUUGGGAAUUGAUGCAAGAGGUGGGUUAGUAGCCCAAUUAUUGGUGCGACCAACGUAUCGAGAACAUAUACUACAUGCCCAAUUCCAUGACAAGGUGGGGUCCAAGAUUAGGAAGAAUGUGGAGGCCGGGGUAGAAAUGAAAUUCCGAGUAGCGGAUGAUGGAUCCUUGAUGAUGGGACAACGGUUGUACGUGCCUGAUGACGAAACAGUCAAACGAAUGGUUCUACAAGAAGCACAUGAGUCCAAAUUCUCCAUACAUCCUGGCAGCACUAAGAUGUAUCGAGACCUGAAACACCUCUAUUGGUGGCCAAAUAUGAAAAGGGAAAUAGCUGAGUAUGUGUCAAAGUGUGGGAUAUGUCAACAAGUCAAGGUUGAACACCAAAGGCCUGCGGGACCAUUACAACCAUUACAAAUUCCAGAAUGGAAGUGGGAGAUGAUCACCAUGGAUUUCGUGUCAGGAUUUCCCAAAGGGAGAAAAGGAAAUGAUGCGAUAUGGGUCAUUGUAGAUCGGUUGACGAAAUCCGCACUAUUCUUGCCCGUAAAGAUGACCGACUCGGUGGACAAGCUUGCCAAGAUCUACAUAAAUGAGGUGGUACGACUUCAUGGGAUUCCGGUGUCCAUUGUAUCGGAUCGAGAUCCCAGGUUCACCUCUCGACUUUGGCCGAGCAUACAACAUGCCUUGGGGACAAGGUUGGACAUGAGCACUGCGUUUCACCCUCAAACGGAUGGCCAAUCGGAAAGAGUCAUCCAAGUCUUGGAAGACCUAUUACGGGCCUGUGUGCUAGAAUUUGGAGGAAACUGGGAGGAACACAUGGCAUUGGUGGAGUUCACGUAUAACAAUAGUCAUCAAGCCACAAUAGGGAUGGCCCCGUAUGAAGCCUUGUAUGGUAGGAGGUGCAGAACUCCUUUGUGUUGGGAGGAAAUUGGGGACCGGAAGUUAUAUGGCGCAGAGUUGGUCCAAGUUACCACGGAGAAAGUGAGAACUAUCAGGGAUCGCAUCAAAGCCGCGCAGGAUAGACAGAAGAAGUAUGCCGAUGUGAGGAGAAGACCUCUCGAGUUCAGUAUGGGGGACCAGGUGUUCCUGAAGGUAGCCCCAUGGAAGAACAUGUUACGGUUUGGGUUGAAAGGGAAGUUAACUCCCCGUUUCAUCGGACCCUUCAAAAUCUUACAACGAGUUGGACCAGUAGCCUACAAGGUGGAUUUGCCCCCACAGUUAGCCAGGGUCCAUGAUGUGUUCCAUGUCUCCUUGUUAAGGAAGGCUGACGUAGACCCCGCCCGAGUUCUACCCCAGGUGCCAGUAGAAGUCAAGGAAGACUUAACACUGGAAUUGAGACCCAUAAGGAUACUAGAUCAAGAAGUGAAGGAGUUACGGAGCAAAAAGAUCCCCAUCGUCAGAAUCUUAUGGCGAAAUGCUCAAGUAGAAGAGGAAACUUGGGAGAGGGAGGCUGAGAUGAGGAAAAAGUACCCCAAUUUAUUUGAACUACCAGGUAUGGAGUGUGAAACUUUUUAAAUUUCGAGGACGAAAUUCAUAUUUAGGAGGGGAGAAUGUAAACACCCAAACGAAAAUAUAUAUAUGUCUAUAUAUAUAUAUAUAUAUAUAUAUUUAAAGAGAAAGAGAGAGAGAAAGAUGGUGAUGAACGCAGUUUUCGCUGCCGAUGCAGAAAUCGGCAGCGACGCAGUUUUCGCUGCCGAUGCAGAAAUCGGCAGCGACGCAGUUUUCGCUGCCGAUUUCUGCAUCGGCAGCGACGCAGUUUUCGCUGCCGAUGGUUGGCAGCGACGCAUUUUCGCUGCCGAUUCUGGAUGGCAGCGACGCAGUUUUCGCUGCCGAUGCAGAUCGGCAGCGACGCAGUUUUCGCUGCCGAUGCAGAAAUCGGCAGCGACGCAGUUUUCGGCUGCCGAAUUCUCAAUCAACAGUGACGCACAGCUGGGAGGGAGGGGUAAAACUGGUUUUAGAUAAACCAAACAAGGAUAAGGACACACCUAAACCCACCCCCAAACAACCCAAUUCAUUUGAUGGGUAGUAUAAAUACAAAGAGGGGAGAGAGAAGGACCCAUCUUCUUCCCAAACCAGCAGCUGCAUGUCAUUCUUCCCUUCCCCUUUCACAUCAAAAACGUGAAUCAAACUAGUAGAGUGUCUUGUGAGCUUGUGAGGGAGAGAUGAGAACUUGAGAGAGGAGUGGGCAGCUGCAUAGAGGAGAGGAAAAAGAGAGCUGGAAAACGUGAGAGGAAGAAGAAGGAGGAGAACCAGCAGCUGAAGAGAAAAGAAUAGUGUCAAACCUUCCUCAAACUUGGUUAAAAUCAGAAGGUAUGGGUCAUGGAACUCCCUUUCCUCUCCCCCUUAAGAUCAAAAACGAAAAUGAAGAAGAAAAACCCUAAGAAAAAUUGAUCUAAGACCUAAGCCAACUAUGGGGGAAACUGAAAUUAACUAGAAGAUCUAGCAAACAGAAGUGAAAUAAAGUCAAUUUCAGAACAUCUAACAAUUAUGGUAGAAGCUGGCUUUAACUAUGGGGUAAGCCAGCAUGCAUGUGUGUGUUUCUGCUGGAAUGAAUGUGUUCUGCUGUGAUGUUGGUGCUGAAAUUAAAUGUGUUCUUGAGAUGUUGCUGCUGAAUUAAUGUGUACUGUGAUGAUUGUGCUGAAUUAAUGUGUUCUGUUGUGAUGUUCUUGCUGGAAUUAAUGUGUUCUGCUGUGAUGUUCUUGCUGGAAUUAAUGUGUUCUGCUGUGUGAUGUUAUGCUGGAAUUUAAUGUGUUCUGCUGUGUUCUUGCUGGAAUUUAAUGUGUUCUGCUGUGAUGUUAGUGCUGGAAUUUAAUGUGUUCUGCUGUGAUGUUAUUGCUGGAAUUUUGUUGAAGAACUAUGUGCUGAAAUUGAUGGUUCCGAGUUGUGUUGCGCAGCGAAAUUCUGUUUCGCUGCCGCAACUGAACCUGCUGCAGCGAAUUGAUAUUCGCUGCGAUUUGUGUGUUGCAGCGAAAUUCUGUUUCGCUGCCGCAACUGAACCUGCUGCAGCGAAUUGAUAUUCGCUGCCGAUUUGUGUGUUGCGCAGCGAAAUUCUGUUUCGCUGCCGCAACUGAACCUGCUGCAGCGAAUUGAUAUUCGCUGCCGAUUUGUGUGUUGCGCAGCGAAAUUCUGUGGCGCCAACAGCGAUGCAGUUAUUCGCUGCCGAUGUGUGUUGCCGCAGCGAAACAGGUGUCGCUGCGAAACUGGCAGCCCGUAGCGAACCAGUUCUCGCUGCCGANNNNNNNNNNNNNNNNNNNNNNNNNNNNNNNNNNNNNNNNNNNNNNNNNNNNNNNNNNNNNNNNNNNNNNNNNNNNNNNNNNNNNNNNNNNNNNNNNNNNACAGUGGUAUCAGAGCCUUCUGGUUGGUGUUGUUAACACACAAAAGUUAUUCGUGUAUACGGUUACUAUUCACGUCUACGGCACUAUUCACCUAUACGGCACUAUUCAUCCAUACGGUACUGUUCACUUACGUUACUGUUGGCGUAUAUAGAAAGUCAGUGCGGUGAUUAAAUACAGUCUAGGAAGUUCUGUCUAAGGAGAUUGGGUUUUAAGCGGGACCGUUUGUGACCCCUCCAAUCUUUCCUGGGAACUUACUUAGUGAAGUAUUAUUCACACGAUACUAUUUCUAUAUACGUUACAGAUCUGUGAAACGGUGAUAGCUGAAUAGAUCUCGGUGAAUACAAUGGCAGCAAAGUACGAGAUUGAGAGGUUCAAAAGGGAGCAAUUUCUCACUGUGGAAAAUGAGAAUCAAGGCAAUCUUGAGGAAAGACAAUUGCUUGGCAGCAAUUGGGGAUCGGCCCGCGGAGAUCACUGAUAAUGCAAAAUGGAAUGAGAUGGAUGGCAAUGCUAUUGCUAACAUACAUUUAGCAUUAGCUGAUGAAGUAUUAUCAAGUGUGGCGGAGAAGAAAACAGCUAAGGAGAUAUGGGAGACUCUAACAAAGCUAUACGAGUCCAAGUCUUUGCACACUAAGAUUUUCUUAAAGCGGAGACUUUAUACCCUUCGAAUGGCAGAAACCACGUUGGUGACUGACCACAUCAACACAACAAGAACUCUAUUUUCACAACUCACUACAUUAGGUCAACAAAUAGAGGAACAUGAACGUGCAGAGCUUCUACUUCAAAGUCUUCCUGAUUCGUAUGAUCAGCUCAUUAUCAACUUGACCAAUAAUAUCCUCUCAGACUAUUUAGUCUUCGAUGAUGUUGCAGCUGCUAUCUUGGAAGAAGAAAAUAGGCGCAAAAACAAAGGAGACAGAAACAGUUCAAACCAAGCUGAGGCAUUGUUGGUGUCAAGAGGAAGAUCAACGGAACGUGGCUCCAGUGGGAGUCAAAGGCAGGGGAGGUCCAAAUCAAGAAGUAAGAAGAUGGUGAAAUGCUACAACUGUGGCAGAAAAGGGCACUUCAAAAAGGAUUGUUGGUUUAAAAAGGGUAUAGAGAAUACUGCAGAGUCAUCAAGACCUCAAGGAUGUGUUGCAAGCACCUCAGAAGAUGGAGAGGUUCUAUAUAGUGAAGCAGCAACAAUCUCUACAGAUAGAGAAGAGCUCGCUGAGGUCUGGCUAAUGGAUUCAGGAGCAACAUGGCAUAUGACCCCUAGACGAGAUUGGUUCCAUACAUAUGAACCUAUCUCUGGAGGCACAGUGUUCAUGGGUGAUAAUCAUGCUGUAGAGAUUUCUGGCAUUGGCACCAUCAAAUUGAAGAUGUAUGAUGGCUUAAUUCGUACUAUUUCAGGAGUGCGACAUGUGAAAGACUUAAAGAAGAAUCUUUUGUCCGUAGGACAAUUUGAUAGUCUUGGCUGUAAGAUCCGAACAGACAAUGGAAUCAUGAAAAUUGUCAAAGGCGCGCUGGUGGUUUUAAAGGCAAGAAAGACAGUUGCAAACAUGUUUGUAUUAAUGGGAGAAACACAUCAUGAGGCAGAAGCAUCAAUCGCAUCAGCCAGUCCUGCAGAAGAGAAGACGAUGAUGUGGCAUCAAAAACUAGGCCACAUGUCAGAGAAAGGUUUAAAGGUUCUCUCUGAUCAGAAGUUACUCCCUGGGCUUACAAAGGUUACUUUACCUUUUUGUGAGCACUGUGUUACAAGAAACAACACAGGUUGAAGUUUGGCACGUCAACAACUAAGAGCAAAUGCAUCUUAGACCUGAUUCACUCUGAUGUUUGGCAAGCACCGGUUGUAUCCUUGGGAGGAGCAAGAUACUUUGUAUCAUUCAUAGAUGACUUCUCCAGGAGAUGUUGGGUGUAUCCGAUUAGAAGGAAGGCAGAUGUGUUCGCAGUUUUUAAAACCUUCAAAGCGCGGGUAGAACUUGAAUCUGAAAAGAAGAUCAAGUGUUUGAGGACUGACAAUGGAGGAGAAUAUACCAGUGAUGAAUUUGAUAACUUCUGUCAACAUGAAGGUAUCAAAAGGCAGUUCACAACGGCAUACACUCCACAACAAAAUGGAGUGGCAGAGCGGAUGAACAGAACUCUAUUGGAAAGAACAAGAGCAAUGUUGAAGGCUGCAGGUCUAGAAAAGUCAUUCUGGGCAGAAGCAGUCAAUACCGCCUGUUAUGUGAUAAAUCGAUCUCCGUCAACUGCAAUGAGUUGAAGACACCGAUGGAGAUGUGGACUGGAAAGCCAGCUGAUUAUUCUCGAUUGCAUAUAUUUGGAAGUCCUGUGUACGUGAUGUACAAUACUCAAGAAGUCAGCAAGCUGGAUUCAAAAUCAGAAAAUGUGUAUUCUUGGGAUAUGCUGAUGGAGUGAAGGGGUAUCGCUUGUGGGAUCCCACUGCCCACAAGGUAGUCAUCAGCAGAGAUGUCAUAUUUGCAGAAGAUAAAAUGCAAAUGGAAGAAAAUAAUAGCAUUUUAAAGGAGACUACAGAAGUCCAGAUGGAAAAUACUCAGAAUCAUACUUCUUCUGAAGCUGCACCAGAGCAUGAAGAACAAGAACAAAUAGAGUCUGAAACUCCUGAAGUUCGACGGUCAACUCGUGAAAGAAGACCACCGGCUUGGCACUCAGAAUAUGUUACUGAGAGCAAUAUUGCAUACUGUCUUCUAACAGAGGAUGGAGAGCCAUCAACUUUCCAUGAGGCUAUCAAAAGCACAGAUGUAUCUAUGUGGAUGACAGCAAUGCAAGAGGAGAUUGAAGCUCUGCACAAGAAUAACACUUGGGAUCUUGUUCCGCUACCACAAGGAAGAAAGGCCAUUGGCAACAAAUGGGUUUACAAGAUAAAGCGUGAUGGCAAUGAUCAAGUGGAGCGGUAUCGUGCAAGAUUGGUGGUGAAAGGAUAUGCUCAGAAAGAAGGAAUAGACUUAAUGAGAUAUUUUCUCCGGUGGUACGACUUACUACAAUCAGAGUAGUCUUGGCGAUGUGUGCUAUAUUUGAUCUUCACUUAGAGCAGUUAGAUGUGAAAACUGCAUUUCUUCAUGGAGAACUUGAAGAAGAAAUUUAUAUGCUCCAACCAGAGGGUUUUGCUGAAACAGGCAAGGAGAACUUGGUUUGCAGGUUGAACAAAUCUCUAUACGGUCUCAAACAGGCGCCGAGGUGUUGGUACAAGAGAUUUGAUUCCUUCAUAAUUAGCCUUGGGUACAACAGACUCAGUUCAGACCAUUGUACGUAUUACAAGAGGUUUGAAGAAAAUGAUGUUUUCAUCAUUCUGUUGUUGUACGUGGAUGACAUGUUGGUAAUAGGCCCCAACAAAGAUCGAGUCCAAGAAUUGAAGGCACAGUUGGCUAGGGAGUUUGAUAUGAAGGACUUGGGACCAGCAAACAAGAUUCUAGGGAUGCAAAUUCACCGAGACAGAAGUAAGAGGAAGAUUUGGCUUUCUCAGAAGAAUUAUUUAAAGAAGAUCUUGCGACGCUUCAACAUGCAAGAUUGUAAGCCAAUUUCCACCCCACUUCCUGUUAACUUCAAAUUAUCCUCAAGUAUGUCUCCUAGCAAUGAAGCAGAGAGGAUGGAGAUGUCUCGAGUACCGUAUGCAUCAGCAGUGGGAAGUUUAAUGUUUGCCAUGAUAUGUACAAGACCAGACAUUGCACAAGCAGUGGGAGCAGCUAGUCGAUACAUGGCAAAUCCUGGUAGAGAGCAUUGGAAUACUAUUAAGAGGAUCUUGAGAUACAUCAAGGGUACCUCAGAUGCCGCAUUAUGUUAUGGAGGAUCAGAAUUUACUAUCAGAGGUUAUGUUGACUCAGAUUUUGCUGGUGACCUUGAGAAAAGAAAAUCCACUACAGGCUAUGUGUUCAUAAUUGCAGGAGGAGCUGUGAGCUGGGUCUCUAAACUUCAGACUGUUGUAGCGUUAUCCACAACAGAAGCUGAGUAUAUGGCAGCUACACAGGCUUGUAAAGAAGCAAUAUGGUUGAAGAAACUUAUGGAGGAGCUCGGGCACAAACAAGAGAAGAUUCUUUUGUAUUGUGAUAGUCAGAGUGCCUUGCAUAUUGCAAGGAAUCCAGCGUUUCAUUCAAGAACAAAACAUAUAGAUGUUCAGUAUCACUUUGUUCGCGAAGUGGUGGAAGAUGGAAGUGUGGAUUUUCAGAAGGUUCACACAAAGGAAAACCCAGCAGAUGCUUUAACCAAACCAGUCAACACUGAUAAGUAUAUAUGGUGCAGAUCCUCUUGUGGCCUAGCAGAAACGUAAGCAGCAUGAAGAUGGCAAGUAUUGAAAGGAUAGAAGAAUCACAAAUGAUGAAGUGUGAAGACUUGAUUCAAUCAUCAAAGUCUUCAAGUGGGAGAAUGUGAAGCUAGCCACCAAACCAACCACCUAGUCAACAAUGGUGGGAGUCAACAAUGGUGGUGAAGCCAUCCUUCCUUAGUCACAAAUUGUAGGCACCAAACUUGUGCCAAACUUGUGCCACUUGCCUUACCCCUUGUAUUUGCAUGGAUGUUUGCCUAUAAAUAGGCAAUGCAUCCAAGCAUUGUAAACACACCACAAGAGAGAAACAAGAGAGGAAGAGAAGAGUGAGAGAGGGAAAGUAAUCCCACAAAAUUGUGAGGUAUUUGUGAGAAGAGUAAGUGAGGUGUUUUCUCCUAGUAAUAGAGAGAUUCUUAGUUGUUCUCCUAUUAGUUGAGAGAGGUUGUAAUUCCCACAUUACUAGUAAAAUCCUUCAAUACUUGCCCGUGGACGUAGCCUAAUUGGGUGAACCACGUAAAUUCUUGUGUGUCUCAUUUCUCAUUUUAUCCUAUUCUUUGCCUUUUAUCUUGUCGGGUUUGCAUGCCAGUAUCCUAACAAUAGACUCACUCUUCAGUGAAGGAAUUGAAAUGCCACCACUUACAAAAGAAGGGUUUUGGAAAGAAGUUAUGCCCCGGCUUUUCAAGGUCAUCGCUGGUGGAGGAGAUGUGCUGCGAUUUGAAGUCCCUAAACCAAUGGAAAGUAUGAACACAUUCUUCUUUGCCUUUUUUUUUUUAAGAAAAAAAAAAAAGAAGUUAUUUGAGCUCACACAUUGUUUCAAAUGAGUUUUCGCAUUUUCAGGAGACAAGUUCUUCUGGUUUAAGGAUGAAGAAUUUGCUCGACAGACUCUUGCCGGUCUCAAUCCGUAUAACAAAUACAGAAUGGACAUUGCAUGACAAAAUUAUAUUGAUUAAAAGGAAAGAAUCAUCAUGAAAAUAUAGUAAUAUGCGAUAUUGUGUUCAUCCAUGUUUGCUUAAAAAAACGUUGUUUGAAAUUGUGCAGGAAUGGCCAUUAAAGAGUGAGCUUGAUCCAGAGAUCUACGGCCCGCCAGAAUCUGCGAUUACCUCAGAGCUAUUAGAGGCAGAGAUUGGAGGGGUAACUAGAGUUGAUAAGGUAAUUAUCCCACCAUGAAAUUAUGCUCGAAUAACACUGGGCAUAAAUAAAUUCCGAUUGAUGCGCUAAUAGGGUGUUUUUGUGUAAUAACAUUCAGGCCAUAAGAGAAAAGAAGCUGUUCAUCCUAGAUUACCACGAUCUCUUGUUACCAUUUGUUAGCAAAGUCAGAGAAAUCAAAGGAACAACGUUAUACGGGUCGAGGACAUUGUUCUUCCUAACCCCAGAGGGCACAUUAAGGCCACUAGCAAUUGAACUGACUCGCCCACCGAUGGACGGGAAGCCUCAAUGGAAGCAAGUGUUUACACCGUGUUACCAUUCCACAGGUUGCUGGCUCUGGAGGCUAGCUAAAGCUCAUGUCCUUGCUCAUGACUCUGGUUUUCAUCAACUUGUUAGCCACUGGUAUGUGCCUAAUAGUUCUCUAUAACCAACAAUUUGAGUAACUUUAAAUUGAUUUUCCUUUCUACAAAUUUUGCAGGCUUAGAACACAUUGUGUGACAGAACCUUAUAUAAUUGCAACCAAUCGGCAGCUUAGUGUUAUGCAUCCAAUUUACAGACUGUUACAUCCUCAUUUUCGAUACACAAUGGAGAUCAAUGCUUUAGCUAGAGAAUCAUUAAUAAAUGCAGGUGGUAUCAUUGAGACUUCAUUCUCUCCUAGCAGUAUUCUAUGGAGAUCUGCUCUGCUGCCUAUGAUAAGCUGUGGCGGUUUGACCAUGAAGCACUACCCAAUGACCUUAUCAGCAGGUAAGCAUUAGCCUCCAAUCUAUGAAUUCUCUCAAAAACAUAAGGCAAAUAGAGGAACUUUAGCUUUCGGUGUAAAAUUCAUUUCUUCUUCUCAAUUUGCUAAUUGCCAGGGGAAUGGCGAUUGAAGAUCUAACUGCCCCACAUGGCCUAGAACUUACAAUCGACGACUACCCUUUCGCUAACGAUGGUUUGUAUUUAUGGGAUGCCAUCAAACAAUGGGUUAGUGACUAUGUAAAUCACUACUACCCUGAAUCAGGUUUAGUAGCUUCCGAUGCAGAGCUCCAAGCAUGGUGGACUGAGAUUCGACAAAGGCCAUGCUGACAAGAAAGAUGAACCAUGGUGGCCUGAACUCAAAACACGACAUAACCUUAUCGAUAUUAUCACUACUAUCAUAUGGUGGCCUCAGGUCACCACGCUGCGGUGAACUUUGGACAGUAUCCUUACGCAGGAUACUUUCCUAACAGGCCUACCAUUGCCAGAACAAAAAUGCCAACCGAAGACCCUACGGAUGAAGAAUGGAAACUUUUCUUGGAAAAACCUGAAGCAGCACUCUUGGCAACCUUCCCUUCAAAAUUCAGGCAACGAGAGUAAUGGCUGUGUUGAGUGUGCUAUCAAACCAUUCUCCUGAUGAGGAAUAUAUCGGGGAGGAAUAGAACAAGCAUGGGCAGAUGAUCCAAUUAUAAAGGCAGCUUUUGAGAAGUUCAGUGGGAGGUUGAAACAGCUAGAAGGGAUAAUUGAUGAAAGGAAUGCUAAUCCAAAAUUGAUGAAUAGACAUGGAGCUGGCAUUGUGCCAUAUGAGCUUUUGAAGCCUUUUUCUAAGCCAGGGAUAACAGGAAAGGGAGUUCCAUAUAGUAUUUCCAUAUGAAAUAUGCAAACUUAUCAAACUUCGAUUUUGAUAAGACUUUUGUAUCAAAUGGAAACAAAAUUGGAUAAACAAUAUAUGUAUCUGUUGAUCCCUUUUCGCUGAGUUAAAACAUGAGUAUUAAAAAUUACAUAAUCUCAAACUCGUGUUGAUGCAUCAAGUAAGUUUUGGGUGUCAUAUUCUAGAAUCAUAUUAUCAUAAAUAUAAAAUAUUAAGAUAAUUAUUAUAAUUAUAAUUUUUUAAAAAAUAGUUAUAAUCUUGAUAUAUUUCUUUUAUAUAUAUAUAUAUAUAUAUAUAUAUAUAUAUAAAUUCUUCGUUCUCAACAAAUAAUAAAUAUUAAAUGGUAGUGAGCAUGUUGAGCCACGUACCACUAGUAUCCCAAAUCAAUAGCAAAAGAGAGUGAACAAUUGGCGAAACAAACUACAAGAAAGGCGACGAAGAGGAAGACAAUAGAAGAAACAUAAUGAAUACAAGCAAUAUACAUAACAUUAAAAUUAUAAUUCAAAAUUUUAUUAUUGAACAUUUUUUUAAAAAAUAAUCUGUUAAAAUACAAGUUUAAAAAUCUUAUUUAUACUAAUUCUAAGCCUUAGUUGAAUAAGAAAAAAUAAAAUUCCUAAACGAAAUAGAAAGAAUGAGAACCAUGAAUAAAUAUUUUUCUAGACUAGAUAGAAAUAAAAAUAAAUAAUAAAACAAAUAAUUUUUUUAAAGGUUUUCAAGGUUUUCCUAAAGAACUGUGUCUUUCUAUAGGGGUUAAGAAAAGUGAUGGAUGAAGCAUUGGAAAUCUAAAUUGCUAUAUUCAAUUUAUCUACUAAGUUUUUUAAACCUUCAUUUUUGUUUUCUCCUGUGAAAGACUUGCUAAGGUUUUAUUUUGUAUAGACUUGAAGCUAACUCUCAUCAAAUAUUUGCAUGAUUUAUUGAAAGAGUUUUGAUGAUUUGCGAACGAAAGAAUCAUGGCCAUAAUUUCCAUGGAUGAGUAGUUUAGGCAAAAGUAAAUGAGUUAUUGUAAAGUGUCAUUGGGUGAUUAAACUAAGGUUUCAGCAUUGUUUGUUCAUGAGAGGUGAUAAAAUUGGGUUGUGGUUUUUGAAGGCCUUUUUGGAGCGCUUUGUGUGAUACUAUAUGUGACUGAAAUUAAAUAGAGCAGGUCCGGUGAUUAAGAAAGUUUAUCGUUGUUUUUUUUUAAAAAAAAAUAGAUUCAAAUCUUAGGGUUAAUCUCAACUGACACACCAGCUGCUCUCAGAAUAUUCUGAACGUGGAAUAAAAAAAUAUUUAAAAGCUGAGUACCAAUUUAUCUUCAUUUAUCUCAUGUUUUAUCAUGGGUAAUUUGCAACUUAUAUGGUACAAAUUAAUUCUAUGUUAGUAAAUGAAAAUUAAUCAUAUAUAUUUAAUUGAAAUAGAAUAACAAAAUAAAAAAACAAACUAAAAUUCAAUAAAACAAUCCAAAAUUAUUACAAUAACAACAAAAAUUGAACUCAAUUAUUUCUAUGUGAUAAUAUUUUUAAUCAUAUAUUUACAAAAAAUUAUUCUAAAUGGAAUAAAUACAAAUUAAUCCUACACAUCUAAUUAAAAUUGAACAACAUAUUUGAAAAAACAAAUAACUAGAACUCAACAAAAUAAUGCAAAAAUUAUUUCAAUAACAACUAAAAUUCAUGUCAUUUAUUAAUUCAUAAAAUUAUUAAGAGCACAAAAUUGAACAAAAAUAAUGACAAAAACAAUAAUGCAAAAAAAAAAAAAAAAAAUAAUGAAAAUGAAUGAAAAAUUAUUACCUUAAUUGUGUGCUUUAUUUCGGCUCUUAAUUAAAAAAACAAAACAAAAGAGAAGAAAAGACAUUGUUAGCAAACCUCAAAAAAAAAAUUAAGAUGAAGACCGAAGAAAAACAACAUAUCUUAGGAUGAUAAGAGAAGAGAAUGCUUGAUUUCGGGCAAGAGAGAGAGAGAGAGAAAUGGGUGUGUGAGAGAAGAAGAUGAAGCCCCGUCUAUCAUGAUUCUGGUCUUUUAAUACCCCCAUGUUCUAUACUCGGUCAACUCUAUAUUUUCAAGAUAGUACAUGUAGAAAUUUAAACAUAUGCCAAUUUUCAGUAUCCUAGACCAAGGAGUUUCAUCAUGGACUUAGCAUCAUAGAAGUUUUCUUUUAGCAUGUUCCCUUCAUGUAAAAUGUUUUUCGCUCAUUUAAUAAUUAUAUCAUAACUAGCCUCACUCAACCUAUGAUCUGACUUGAUGUUAAACAUAAGUGCAACGACCGAUAAUUUACUGUGAUUUGUGCAAUCAUCUUAUAAUGGUUUGUUAGAAUCUUGUAAAAGAUAAAAAAAAAUAAAAAAUGGUCGUGUAUGCAUUAGGUUUCUCAUCUAUGAUUGGACAUUGACCACCAUAACCAUGAUUCAUUCUCAUAACAUCCAUAACCAUAUUCCUAUAAUGAUUACUAUUGUCAUAUACAACUCCAUACACGUUGCUAGAACUAGAAGUGAACCCAACCAUCCUUUCUACCAUGGUAUCUUGAGGAACAUAUAGUUCUUCGUGUGCAUACUAACACAGGUAUUUCUCCAUGAACUCUUUUUAUAGAAGAUGCAUCGUUACAAUAUCUAGAUUGAGGAACUUUUUAUUUUUAAACCUCUUGCAUGGACAUCUAAAACCCCAUCCAACAAUAUUUCUUGGAUUAGAUAGUGCAUAAUCAAUAAGACCCCGAACCCCAUUACAAUAAUCCAUCCUCCACAACCCUUGCGGUGAAUCUCUAUACAUAUAUGAAUGAUCAUCCAUUACUUAUAUCAAACCUAUAUAAAAUAAUGAUGACAACAUGCAUUAAUUAACUAUGUUAACUAAAUAAUUUGAAAAAAAUAUUGAUUUAGCUUAAACUUAUUCAAUCUAUUUUAAUAGUACUCUUAAUUCAUUAUCAAUUAUAUACAUAAAUUCAAAUUUCUACACAUUUACCAAAAAUUUCAACUCGACAAUAAAAUUGAUAAAAUAUAAAACAAACGCGUUAAUAAGCCAUUAUUUAUUUCAUCACAAAACACUUGAGUAAAAAAUUCAACAUAAGUUUCAUCAAUUUACAAAUAAAUACAAUCUUACAAAAUCUAAAAUAAACCAUAACAUGUACAAAUCAUAAAUCUAUACAACAAAUUUAUUUGAGAAAAAAAGUAUAAAACAACACCCAAACAAAAUACGUAUACUACAAAAAAUAUGCAAAAAAAAAUAGCAUUUUAAAAUUAAGUUCAAAUAAAAAAAUAAAAAGGUAGAUUUACUUACUUAAAGUGGAGUGUUGUUACCCAUUUUGGGUCCUCACACAAAAAAGAGAAAAAGAAGAAAAAAUUAAAAAACAAAUUGUUGGAAGAAAACCAAUUUUGAUUAAUACUGGUUUGUAUUUUUAUAAUGUAAAGAUACAAAUCUAAUAUUAAAAUACUCAAUUUCUUCGAAAUGUUUCCAAAUAAAAUAUAGAAAAAACAAAAAAAAAUAUUUUGUUUUCAUUCAUAUGGCCAAGUCUCUCAAAAAUAUAAAAAAUAUUCAUAUCAUAUUUUCAUACAAAAAAUUCAAAAAAAAAUAUGUAUUAACAUGCAUUUUGGACUUUAAUAACUAGUUUAUUAAAAUAAUGAGAAUUAGGUCCAUAUUUCAAAAAUACCAAAAAAAAAUAUUUUGUUUUCUUUUAGUAUCUGGGAUUACAAUCUUAUGCGUAAGACGUAUUCUUGAUAUUAAAUAAAAUUUUUUGUUCUAUUGACAUUAGAACGGUUAGGUUUUUACUUGAUAAGAUAUGAAUUUCCUUACUGAGGAGGACUUGUCUUCAACCUUAGACAACCUAACAAUCAGACAACUAGUUUAAUAAGAUAAUUAAACAAUGCAACUUACUUUAGGUAAGACGUACAAGGGGUGAUAAUAUCUACCCUCUAUAUAACCAGUCCUCAUGCCCAAUUGUUUAGACUAGUUAGGGUUCCUAAUGACUAAAUACCAAGUGGCGACUCCCAUUCCCAAUUUCAACUUAUAAUAAGACAAGGAUUCCUUGUCUCCCCCAUUUCCCGAUACGAUACCAUUAGGAGGACGAUCGACGUGACGCCGCACUCGUGCGUCAUGGAGAAUCCUUAGUAAAACUUGAAUCAAAACACAAAUGUUGACAAACUAAAUGUUGUGGUGGCUGAAUUUGUUGUGGGAGGUUUAAUUGCGUUGAAAUUGGGGGAGGGGUAGUUAUUUGUUACAGGAAAAACUGCACAAAGAAGAAGGAGAAAUGGAGGAGAGAGAAAGGAGAAUUGAUCGCCAGGUCAUAAAUUAAGUAUCAUUGAUGGCAUUACCGGUGAAAUUAUUCUAUUAGUAACUCCAUCAAUUAUUUUAUCAGUAAAAAUAUCACGUCACCACAUGAUUUCGUUUUUUUAAUCCCACUAUAAUACCCUUCGUCAUUCCCUCAAUAAACACUAAAAGAAUUUUUCUGUCAAUGUUUACCAAUGGAUACAGAUGAAAAAUUUUGCCAAUAAAGGCCAUCAUAAUAUAUUGAUGUAAUUUUUUUAUCAGUAUUUCCGUUUGUAUUUGUCAAUAUCAAAAGAUACAAGUAAUCAUGCAUUCUUUUGAAAUUUCAAAUGUACAAGGUAAGCUCAAAUUUAAAACAUUGUAAUCUGACUUCAAAUGCAUAUGUUCUUCUCAUUUUCUAGUUUUUAAUUAAGUAUUCCAAUCAUUUUUAUCGAUGACAUAAUUAAAAGAUUGAUGUCUUAUCCUAAGUGCAGGACUGUCGAAGUAAUAAAUAACACGGCAAGACCGGAGUCGAACCACAUGGAGGUUAAGUAUAAUAAUAAUAAUAAUAACAACAAGGAAGAUGGAUGAUGAGUUAAAGAGAACUUUGAGAUGUAAGAUUAAUGUGAGAAUUAAACAAUGAUAAAAACAAAUGUCAAUGUUAGAGGAUCCACUAAUAGUAUUAAAAAUAAAUAAAAUAUAAACUCUUUAUAAAUUAUCAACAUGAUCAUAUUAAUCAUCUUAUUUAUAUAAUAUCAUACUUAUAAAUUUUAUCAGGUAUUUAUUAUGCUAACUUAUGUUGACAACAAAUCAAGUUCCUCUCAUAAUAAUGAUGUCGGCUGAAGACUAUGAAGGAUCAAGUUUUGAUGUACCAAGUGUUAUACAACACAAAUCUAAAUUAUCCAUUUAACAAACAAGGUAUUAAGGAUUAAUAAGAUAAAAAUGAUAAGACAUGUUAAUAGCAAUUUGUUUAGGAUAUAAGCAUUGAAGUGCAUAUUGAGUUUAUAUUAUACUUAUCCUAACACCAUUAGUGAAACCUUUUCACCUUGACAUGAUAAACUUAACUAAACAUUAUAAAGAAGAAAAAACAUAAAUAAACAAUAUAAGAACAUCAACAUGAUAUAUGUUAACUAAGUAUAGUAAAGGAAAUAAAAAGCAUAAACAAGAGAUUAAUGAAAACAAAACUUAAGCAUUACAAAAAUAUAAAGAAAGAAAGCAAAAAAACAUGAUCUUGAUCUGAAAACCAAGAUGCUUAAAUGAAUGACAAAUGCCUUCUUUUAUAGGAUAAAAUUUAGAACUAUUCAUUUGGUAAUUUAUUAUUGAUGUAGUGGUCAACUAUUGAAUUAGUGGACUUAGUGGAUAGCAGCACUCAAGCAUUUUAACUGGAUGAAAUAACAUUGAUGCAAUCAGAAUUUGGCAAAGUGUUCUUGAUGAAAGUUGUUGGAAAUCAUCUCCUCUUUCCACCCACAACAUUUCAAAGCAUUUGGAUCACUACAACUCCAGAUAUGUCUAAAAUACUAAGUAGUGCUUCUGGUGGACAUGGUGGAUAUCCAUUAAGCUAUUGUAUGAAUGAAAUGUCAUUGCUAACAUUAGAAUUGGAGCAGGUCAUCUUCAUGAAAGUUGUUGGAAAUUGUCUUAUCUUUCCACCCACCACAUUUGAUGUCCUUUUUCCUUCUAGAACUCCAGCUAUGGGUAAAAUUCUGAGCAGUGUUUAGGCUGGAUUGUAGGACAGAUUCCGACUUUUUUUUUUAUGGCCAAGCUUGGAAUUUGAAAACGACAGAUUUGGGUCUUCCACUAUUCAUGAACGUUGUAGGCCUAUUUCUUAGCUUUCUAGCCAUAUAAACCAAACUAAAAUCAAAGAUCUACAGCUCAAGAUAUGACCCAAUGACUGAACAGUGUUCUAAUUUGAAUUGAAUUAGCAUCUCUUUUCUAAGCUUAGCCUUGUCUUUGUCCUUUCACUUUUAAUAGUUAAUCACAUCAAUCAAUCAUUUGAAUUAUGAGAUAUGUCUGCAUUUAAAAUGAGCAUUUACAAUAAAUUAAAGUUAUUUUAUAUUAUAAAAUAUGCUCUAGUUAAGGAGUUAUUGAUACUUUCAAGUACAAAAUGAUGAUAUAAAACCUUAAUAAAAAAACACUUUAAAGUACUAGUCAAUUGAAAAGAAAAAGAUUAUUUUACUUAUUUGUUCUGCUAAAUAUGAAAUGCUUGCUAGUUGGAGUUCAUGUUUUAAUGCUAAGAAAAAGUGAUGAUACAAAAGUGAAGUUUUGAUAUAUCUGUUGUUAAUUUCUCCAAAUAUUCUCAAAACACAUAAAUCUUAUCAACAUUAAGUUUAAUCUAGUUUUAAAAUAUUUCAAAUGGAAAUACUAUAUGGAACACCCUUUCCUGUUACCCCUGGUUUAGCAAACGGUAUCAUGAGCUCAUAUGGCACAAUUCCAGCUCCAUUUCUGUUCUUUAAUUCUGGGUUCGCGUUCCUUUGAUUGAUUAUUUGUUCUAACUCCUUCAACUUCCCAUUGAACUUUUCAAAAGCUGUCUUUAUAAUUGGAUCAUCAGCCCAUGCUGCUUCUAUAUGCUCCCCAAUAUAUUCCUCAUUAGGAGAAUGGUAGGACAGCACAUACAAAGCAGCAAUUACUGUUGUUGCCUGAAGUUUUGAAGGGUAAGUUUCCAAAAGUAUAGAUUCAGGUUUUUCCAAGAAACGAUUCCAGUCUUCAUCCGUGGGGUCUUCAGUUGGCAUUUUUAUUCUAGCAAUGGUAGGCCUGUUAAGAAUGUAGCCUGCGUAUGUAUAUUGCCCAAAGUUCACUGCCGCAUGGUGACCUGUGGCCACCCAAAUGAUAGUGGUGAGGAUAUCGAUAAGGUUAUGUGGACUUCUGAGUUCUGGCCACCAUGGUUCAUCUUUCUUGUCUGCGUGGCCUACUGUCCGAAUUUCUGUCCACCAAGCUUGGAGCUCUUCGUCAGAAGAUACGAAGCUUGGAUCAGGGUAGUAGUGAUGAACAUAGUCGCUAACCCAUUGUUUGAUGGCAUCCCAUAAGAUUAAACCAUCGUUGGCAAAAGGGUAGUCUUCGAUUGUAAGUUUGAGGCCAUGUGGAGCAUUUGGAUCUUCUAUAGCCAUUCCUCUGGAAAUUAAACAAAAUAAUAAUGAAAUUAUAACCUGAAGAUAUUGCUUCAGACUGUACAAAGAUUUGAAACAAAAUCUUGGUGACCUUACCUGCUGAUCAGGUCAUUUGGUAGUGCCUCAUUGUCGAACCGCCACAGCUGAUCAUAAGCAAAAGAGCAAAUCUCCAUAGAAUACUUCCCAGGUGAGAAUGAAGACUCAAUGAUGCUACCAGCAUUUAUUAGAGAUUCUCGAGCAAGAGCAUUGAUCGCCAUUGUGUUGCGGAAAUGAGGAUGUAAAAGUCUAAAAAUCGGAUGCAUAACGCUGAGCUGCCGAUGUGUUGCAAUUAUGUAAGGUUCGGUCACACAAUGCGUUCUUAACCUGCAAAAGUAAACAUCUUGAUGAGCUCUUUAUUAAUGCAAUAAAAAAACAACUCCAACGAACAAAACUGGUGUUACUGAAUUACUGCUGAACCUGGUCUUGUUUUGGUUAAAUUAAAAUGAAUUUAUAGGCGCGUACCAGUGACUAACAAGUUGAUGAUAACCAGAGUCAUGAGCAAGCACGUGUGCUUUGGCCAGUAUCCAAAGCCAUAAACCAGUGGAAUGGUCACAUGGUUUAAAUACUUGCUUCCAUUGAGGCUUCCCAUCAAUCGGCGGGCGAGUCAGUUCAAUAGCUAGUGGCCUUAAUGUGCCCUCUGGGGUUAGGAAGAACAAUGUUCUUGAACCAUAUAACGUUGUUCCUUCAAUUUCUCUUACUUUGCUCACAAAUGGUAACAAGAGAUCAUGGUAAUCUAGGAUGAACAACUUCCUUUGUUUUAUGGCCUGAAUAUUGUCUCGUAUGUAUGACAGUGUAUUAGAAUGUAGAGCACAGUAGGAUUUUUGCUAUGAUUUUGUAAAUCAACACUUACCUCAUGGACUUUAAUUAAUCCUCCAAUCUGUGCCUCUAUUAGUUCUGUAGUUAACACAGACUCUGGGGGUCCAUAGAUCUCAGGGUCAAGUUUACUAUUUAUUGGCCAUUCCUGCACAAAUUUAUCCAUUGCUGUAAGCAAAUACGGAUGAAUAUUGUUGCAUGACUUUUGCAUCUUGUCAAACAAAGCUUGCAGUCGUCACGACGUAAAUUAAACAAAAAUCUAAGUCUAUUGUAUACAUAUUUAUUUAGUAUACCAUGACCAAUUUGAUGCUAUAUGGGUUGAGACCCGCAAGAACCUGUCGACCGAAUUCUCCAUCCCUAAGCCAACAGAAUUUAUCUCCUAAAAAAUAAAAAAACCUCCAUUACUGUGUGAGAUUUAUAUGCAAGAAAUCCAGGAUAAGAAGAAUGUGUUUCGUACUCUUCAUUGUUUUAGGCAUCUCAAAGCGCAACAUAUCUUCUCCGUUGGGGAUAUUGAUAGCCUUGAAAAGUUGGGGCAACAAUGUUUUCCACAACCCUUCUUUUGGAAGGGGAGGCAAUUCAAGUUCUUCAUCGUAAAGGGAUUCUAUUGAUGUAAAGCAUUCGAAUCCAUGAUCAGCACUGGUAAUGGCAUUAUAUAUGAAAGGCACGAGUGCUUGGAUUAAUGAGGCAAAUGUCUUGGCAUAGAAUGAUAUCUGCUUUACUUCUGAGGAUGCUUCAUCUCUAGGGAUGUAGAAAUCACCUUUCCUUAUCUCUGAUGUUGGAUCUGUAUGCAUGAUGGCAGUUGUUCAUACCCUUUGAAUUAAAAUGAUUAGUGGAAACACUAAUCCCACUUGCCUAAACUAGUAUUAAAAAAAUUUAUAGAAGAUAAGACUUUCUUUACAAAUAUUCCUGUAAGUUUCCUUCAUUAUGUUGCGCACUAUAAUGCAGAUAAAGAACAAAUUCCUAGCGAUAAUUUUUUUUAAUAGGGAAUUAUCAAUUCAAAAUUACCUCUAUGCAAGCAUGAUAUGCAGAAAAUAAUUAUGAGAAUUCAACUCGAUCCGUAUGUUUCUUACCUAUCUCACUUCGAGGCCGGCCGGUUCGGCAACGUCUAGGGUAAGGGAGUUUUCUACCACCGAGUACCGGUCUUGCUAGUUCUGAACUUUUAUCAGGAUCACCAAUAUCAUUAUAAACAUCAUAGUCAUAUAUUCUAUCACCAGCUUGCUGUUUUCCUAGGCCAUUGCCUCGCAAGAUUAUGAUCUCUUCCUGUCUCAGUCUUCUUAAACCACUUGGUGUUUGUGAUGGUAUGUAUGACUGUUUCACAAAUCACGCACACUAAAUUGAUCGUAAAAAAUAAAUUUUUAUCAAAAUUUGAAAUAAAUAAUAUAAAUCUUAGUACAAUGAUGGCAGUAGUUUUUUUUUUUUUUGUGCAGAAUUUUGUUGGCCUUUCACCAUCAUCUGGACUGGAGAUGAGUCCAACAAAUUUGUUUUUCACGUCUGGGAUUACCCAAAAUUUUGUCCCUGAAGAAGUUGAACUUUAAAUGAUCACAUGUAGUCUAUACUGUACCUGACGAGUAGUGCACAGGUACUAGACGAUUUCAUAACCUUUUUAGUUUACUGUAUAGAAAGAUACCUUUAGAAGCCCAGUAAUUUCGGUACUUGAAUAGCCUUGCCAUUAAAACAAAAAUUAUAGAGUAUAUAUAGAAAGAGUUCUAAAAAAUAGCUAUUGAACUUUCUAAUAUUCCGAAAAAUAAAAUUUAUAUCACUUAAAAAAAAAGCCAUUUUUGCGAUGAAAUAUUUGGUCACACAUGCAAAUAUCUGUGACAAAUGUGUUUUGUUAUGAAAAAAUAUAGCACUUACAUAUAUAUAGUGACGACUUAAUUGUUUUGUUUUACCAUCUUUUGACAUUAUUAUGAAUCCAAAAUUGGGUGUGUAUAAAAUAAACCAAAAAAAAAAUGAAUUUGGAUCAUCAAUUCUUUGAAAAGAUUUAUGUGGCCAUUAGAAUGCAGAAAAUUUAAGAUUAUGUACUUUUAUGAAUGCGACGGAUGCAUACUGACCUUGUUAGUGAAGAAGACUCUUUUCCGAUUAUUUUUAUACUUGGAAUGUAUCCAUGAGCCACAAGUUACAUUGAUGUUGCCUUGUGGUAAGCCAUUAAGGACAAUCCCUUGAAGGAACACCUCCGUAUGGUACCCGUUUUCAAUAGAAAUAGCACCAACCUCUCCAAAAUCCGGUGGAACCUCGAAGGCUGCUUCAUAUUCGACGUACUCAUUUGCUUGGCUUAAUCUCCGGUGUGUAUACCCUUUAAUUGUUGGAUUCUCUAGCUCAGUCUCUUCCAAAAAAAAGUUGAACCAAAUUAAUUGUGAUAUAUAACUAAGUUUCAUGUCUGUAUCCCCACAAAAUUAAUUAGGUCUCAAAAUUCAUGCAUAUCUUUUCACAACAUCAAUUAGAUCUCAAAGUUCAUAUUAAUAAUGAUUUUUUUUUGGAUUGGAACGAAGUUCAGUAUAAAAAAAUGCAUUUUUUUGGAUUGGAACGAGGGAAAAAGUAAUUUUGAAAUAAUAUUAUGCUAUGGCUUGAAUACUUACUGGGAUGAAGCUCGACACUAAUAAGCUCUAGCAAGAUUGUUUUCCCCAGCAAGUCUUGAAUGUCAUUCAGUCCUUGGCCAAUCCCUAGGCUUGUUAGAAACCCACCAACAUUUCGUUUCACCUUCACAAUAGCUUUAACUUAAUUUUAGUACUAUCCUGCGACAGACUUGCUAUAGCUUUAGAACUUCUAGGUUUAAAGCCAGCUUUAAAGUUUUUUGUGAUUUGGAUCUUGGUUUUAAAUGGAAAGAAGAAUGGUCAUUUCCAGGGAUGAAUUGUUUGUAAAUCGCAAGAGAGCUCUUGUAGGGUUUGAUUGUUGAUAAACUUGAGGCUUCAACAUUGCGGGUAGUUUUUGAAGUCCUGUUGUGAGUUGAUGAUGCUUGGUUUAGGAGUGUCUUGGUGUUAUAUAUAUAGGCAAUGGAUAGUUAGAAGAACACCCAGUGAUUUUCAUUUUAUUCAUUGGUUCUUUCAAUUUAAAUGGUUAUUUUGUAUUUAUUUUUUUAUAAUAAUCAAGAGGAUAUAUUAUAACAGCUAGUGCCAGGAAGUUGAUGGUGAACUAGCAAAGCAAAAACCAUAUAGUCUGAAAUACAAAGGAGAAAGGUAAGGCAUGAAAGUCUAAUCAAAACUUGUCUAGUCUAGAAAAAAGACAACACACUCUCUUAGAAGGGUGGUUGCUUAUUUGUCAAAUUCACUUUACCUUCCGAUCUAUCCUCUCUGAACAAGUCCAAACCCGUGUACAUAAAGUUUUCAUCAUCUGUCUUCAACCAUAAAGCAAGACGAUGUAAAACUAGCUCUAUAAUUGAAUUCCAAUCUGGCAAAGUUAAGAGAUAUAGGAGACAAGGUUUCUCAAUGUACUAGGAGGAUAUCUGUUAAUAGAUAGCAGACCUCAUGAAAAAAUAGGAUUCAUAGAUAAGUAGCACUUAAAUUAUCACAUCAAAAAACAAUCAUAGGAGUAGGAGAAACUCGAAGAUCUGAAAAUGAAGCCACAAAAUCUUAGCAGUACCAUCAACAAAAGCCUUAUACUUUGGUUCAGUUGAAGACCGAGCCACUAUUCUUUGCUUCCCGAACUUCCAUGAAAUAGGUGUAUUACCAAGAUACAUUAGUAACCACCGAUGGAUUUUGAUGAAAGCUUCUCAGUUAAGUUUUGUUGUACCCUAAUUGAUAGUACCUCCUCUACUAAUGAUAGCGUUUUUUAAGCCAACGUUUGGAUUAAAAGGGCCCCUCCGAAAGUUCAGGUAUUCCUCUAGUUGGCAGUCCAGGACAAAGUUAGUACAACAGCUUUUCUCCUUAACCGGAAUGUUUUGCCUACCACACAAGCUUCGUGUGUCUUUCGCAACUUUGAUUUGGAAACUCUAAAGCAUCAUUUUAUACAUUGUAACUUUUCUAGGAGUGUUUGGAUGAAAGUAUUGGAUUGUUGGGGUAUCCAAUGUUAUUUACCAAGCACACUAGACUCGCUGCUUCUAUAGCGGCCUGGAAUGGUGCAAGGAAAAUUUCAAAGAUUAGCUUGGAGACUAAUCUCAAGUAGUACUACUUGGGGUAUUUGGUUGUUGAUGAACAAAAUUGUUUUCGAGAAGGGAGUUAACUAUAAGUUUGUUUGAUUGUUGCUCCACCAUCCUUCAUCGGGUUGCUAUUUAGUGGCAUACUCUGGAUUCAAACUUCACUUAUACAAGAAAUGACCUCUUAAGAUCUUCUAAUAGCAUCAAAUUAUGGUGUAAUAAGAAAUCUUAGAUAGUCUCUUUGUUUUUAUUGUAGUAGAUUAGUUUUUCUUUUCUUUUCUUUUUCUUUCUUCCUUUUUUCCCAAGUCUGUUCCUUUUUUCUUCUUUCUUUUUUGCCAUGUCCCUGUAUUUUGUUUUGGCUAUUGGCUAUCAUCAAUACUACCGAUGGAUUUUCUAUCAUCAAUACUACCACCCAAUCAGUAUCAGUGAAACCAUAUAAAGAGAGUAAAGAGCUACGAGUAAUAUGCAACCGGUAGGAGGUCGUACCCUUUAAAUAACAUAAUAUAUGUUUGACAAGAGACCAAUGAACUUCAGUAGGACAAUGCAUAAAUUGACAUAACUUAUUGACAGUAUAACAGAUAUCUAGUCUAGUACAAAUGAGAUACUGAAGAGCACCUACAAGCUAUCUAUAUCUUGUAGAAUUUGAAUAUAACGGACUAGAAGCCAAAAGCAGUUUAAAGGAAGAAGAAGCAAGUAUGUCUAUAGGUUUACAGGAAGAUAUACCAGCUCAAUGAAUGAUAUCAGGGGCAUAUUUAGGUUGCAUGGGCAUAAGUCUUGUUGCUACCUAAUUUUUGACACAUGUUUUGAUAAAAUUUCAGAAAAAUCCAAAAAUAAAGAAAAACAACGAAAAUCCAAAAAAUACAUUUUAAUUGUUUCUAGCAUUUUCAGCAUCAUCUCAAAAGAAUUUAAAUUUUCAAAGAUCUUUGGAACACGUUCGACUUUUAACACGUCAUUUUUAAAAUCACUGAUUUUCCUCAUUCGAGUCGAUGUUGAUAAGAAAAUAAAAAAAAAAUAAGAAAAAUCAAAUUUACAAAAAAAAAAAAAGAAGAAGUUGAGGGACCAAGUUUGGAGACCUAGCAACAUAUUUGUCUAUAAAUAGGAGUUUCCAACACCCACACAAAGAGGGGGGCAAUUUUGCACAUUUAGAGGGGGAAAAAACCCUAACCCUAACCCAAAAACCCAUCUCCUUCGAACCAGCCGGCGGCGCCCCCCAUUGGGUGAAAUAAAAUAGCAGCUGCACCCCACUAAUUUUUUUAUUUUUCUUCUUCCCUGGUCACCCCCACCUCUAACCUCGGCUCCCUUUCUAUUUUUCCCAUAGCCGUCUCUCUCUCUCUCUCUCUCUCUCUCUCUCGGGUCACAUCCUCUUUCCCUCUCUAGCCGGCUCAACUUUCCCCCAUUUCCUCUCAUCUUCAUCCCCUGUACCCGAAAACCCCUAACUCCUUUUUGUUUUCCCUUCAGCUGACCGAAACCUUCAGCUUCCACCAUCUCCUCCUCCCUUGCCCUCUACCAAACAAACUAAACCAGGCCACUACCUCAUUUUCCCCUCUAAAUCGCAAACCCACACACCCAUUUAGUCAACAGAUCCUCCCUCUUCCUCUGGCUUCUUCCCCAUACACGGCUGAACCCUAGACCUAGCUCUCACUCGGCCAAGGCCUAUCAAAACUAGAGCCACUAACUCGGCCAGCCACGCACCAAGCUUUCUUCUCUUAGGCUCGGCCUCCAUCUUUACUAGCCACCGCCCAACACUCCCUUCUCCUCCAGCGGCAGCUCAAACACAGCAACACCAACAAAUCAACAGCCAUCCUUCCUCCUUAUACCAGUUACCCGAAGCGGAGAGGAAGACAAAAAAACCCCAUAGAAGAACAAAUUUGUAGUGAAGCAGAUAUAAAGGAGAAGAGAGAGGCAGAUUCGGAAACAAUGAAAGAAGAUUAAAACAACUUGUUGCAUUUUGUUCUUUUUGCAAGCGAUAGUGGUUGUCAACGCUGGUGCAGGAAAGGAAAGGGAGAAGAAUCUGAGCAAACCCACCCAUUUCCGCCUUUUCUGCUGCGACGUGUGAACACACGCGUGGUCAGUGGUGGUGGCGAGUGGAAGAAACGUGCCAUCACUAUUCCUGCAUAUCCAGAAGGCCUUCCCUGCAAUUCAUGGAAUUUUAAGGGUUGUUUUGUAAUUUUUAAAGUAUUUAAUGUAAUUUUUGUUUAGUUGUUUUUGAAUUUGUAUAAUUUGUAGUGUGUAAGGAAAAAAAAAGAGAAGAAAAAAGGAAAAAAUAUAGUAAAAGUGUAUGCGUGUAUUUGUAUUUGUUUUAUGGAUGUUUCUUUUUAUUUAUAUAAAAUUGCAAAGAAUAAAAAAGAAUUUGAUAUUUUGAUUUGUUAACGGUUAAGAAUUAUAAACUUACACAUAAGUCGUAUUUCUAAUAUCCGAUGAAAAGACAAUUAUUAAAACUUCUUUAACACAUCAAAGUCAUGAAGAAGCUUACCUCAGGUAAGGUGCGUUAGGGGCGCUAAUAUCUUUCCUAACCACAUCCAGUCCCUUACCCGUGAAUCUCUAACAAGACCAGUAUAUCUAGGUUUCCUAGUAACCCUCAAUGAAAUACUAGGUGGCGACUUCCAACAAACCAAUCAAUCAAACAAAAACAAGAAAAUUGUCAAGCCGACGCCACAGGGGUGACGUGCAACAAGUCCCAUAGAGGUAUGUUUAACUUCAAUCCCUAAAAAAUAGUGCACAGAGCCUAAGUCUCAAAGUUUAAACUCUAAAAUCAAUAAAUGAGUCAAUUGUUUAAGAAUAACCAAAUUGCUCCUAGUAAGUAAAAUAUCAUCCACAUAUACAAGUAAAACAUAUCAUCACCCACAGAUAGAAUAAACAAUAAUGUAUCAUUUAUAGAGGCUUGAAAACCAAGAGAAAGAAUGUAAUCACUAAGUCUAGUAUACCAUGCCCGAGGAUCCUAUUUCAAACCAUAUAUAGACUUAUGAAGAUACCAAACAUGAGAGGAUAAAAUAGGAUGAGUAAGGCCAAGUGGUUGCUCCAUAUACACCUCUUCUUGAAGAAUCUCAUUCAAGAAGAUAUUAUGAACAUCAAACUAAUUAAUGAACCCACCACGAGACAUAACAAUAGUAAGUACUAAACUCACAAAAACAGGCUUAACUCCAGGAUUGAAAGUUUUUAAAUAAUUAAUUCCUUCUUACUAAGUAAACCAUUUGGCAACUAGACGAGUUUUAUAUCUUUUAAUAUUGCCAUAUGCUAGCCUCUUACUUUUAUACACCUAACGACUAUCAACAACAUUCAUAGAUGGAAGAUAAGAAACAAGAGUUCAUGUACCAUUUGAGUGGAAAGCCUUAAUUUCAUCUUGCAUUGCUUACUGCUCUGCUAAAUAUUUGAUACCUUCUUUGAAAGUACGGGGUUCCUAAUCAAGAGAAGAUUUAAGUUGAGAGGGAAACUAUUGGAAUGGAAGUACUGGCUGAAACCUAAAGGCAUUGACAUAUUAAGGUUAGCAUGUUUGGGUUGCCAUAGAUGAAGGACCAUGGGAUGCAACUGAGAGGGAAACUGUUGGAAUGGAAGUACUGGCUGAAACCUGCUGAAGAUUAAAGUCAAAAAAAUCAACACUGGAUUUAAUCCAAGAGGAGACCCAGAGGAGAGAGAACCCAAUGUUGGACUAGAAUAUGGUAUAAGAGAUAAUACAAAUGAGGAAUGUGACAUGAAUUGGAGGGACACAGUACCUAAAAAGCAAAAACCAUACCUAGAGAGUGAUCAAGAAAAGAGGAGCAGAUUAGAGAUGAAACAUCAAGACUACUACUCAUUGGAAUAAACUGUGGAAAGGUAGUUAUUAUAGGGUUUGUCAUAGUGUGAGAAGAGGUGGUGAGGUAUUUUGAUGGAUUGUCCAUAGGGACUGUCAUAGUGUAAGGAUAGGUGGAAACUGUAGGUAAGGGACUAGACUUUGGGUUUGUGUUUGGUGGAGACAAUGUGGAAGCCAUAAGUGAUGGAAAGGAUGUCAAACUGGUAGGGAUAUGGUCACACAUAAGGGAGGCAUUGGUGUUGUCUAUUCAGAAUAUGAAAAGGAAACACAUUUCUAUGAAAGCGAGUAUGACAUGUAAUGUAUAUGUGAUUGGAAGACAAAUUAAGAUAUCUAUAACCCAAAUGAGAGGUACUAUAACCAAAAACAUGCAAGGAGCAUAUCAAAAUACACUCAAGGAAUAGAACAAAAAUCUAGCUCAUAAAACAAGACCUUUUCUUUUUAUAGAUAAGUACUGACAUACUCAUCACCUUAGCAUAGGUCUUGGAAUGAGCCAUGUAUCAUAAUCCUUGUAUGUAUUGGUGAGGUAAAAGCCUUAAGGGUCUUCCAUAUACUGUGUGAUGUGUAACAAUCAACCAUAAGGUGUAGAAUUUCAGUAACAAGGAAGAAAGAAGAGCACUUGUGCAUGGUUAAUUGAUUAUGUUGCUUCCAUGAAAUAAAAUAAGGAUUAAGCAUAAAAGCUAUUGUAUCAAUGACAACAACAUGAGAAGAAGGACAAGAAAAAGAACUAUCGCACGUCCCCCCGAGUGGCUAUGUGGGAUUUUUCAUCUCAUUUGCUUGAUUGUUCUUUGGGAGUCGCCACCUAGUAUUUGAUUAAGGGUUACUAGGAAACCCAGAUGUACUAGUCUGUCAAAUAUUCAAGAGUAAGGAACUGGUUGUGGCUAGGGAAGAUAUUAGCACCUCUAGCACACCCUACCUAAGGUAAGCUGCUACAUGAUUUGAUGUGAUUUGAAAAAUAAAAUAUUAACCAAAUUCUAAGGCUUUAAUAAAUCAGUUUUUAAAUCCCAGAAUAUAUGUAGAAACAUGUUAUUAUAUUUUCAUGGAAAAUACAACAUGAUUUUAUUUGUCCUUGAGAUAUUUAACCAUAUUCAAAUUAAACACUUAAUUCUUUUUGUCUUUUUUAUUUUUAUAAUUCAAUAACAUAAAUGAAUAAAAAAUACAAACACACCCAGAUCCCUUUUCAUUAUGUUUACUCACCCAUAAUUUCAUGUUUACAACAUAACAAAAAAAACCAAUAAAUCAAAAUACAACAGUAUCUAAAUAUACAUAUCAUUUAAAAAUUACAAAAAAACAAAGAAAUCCUCGGGAACAGUGGCGACGCGUCUUUUAUACAUGCCACCACCACAAGAAAAAUCCAGGCACUCAGGGGGUUUGUAACGGCUUCAUCCCUUUUUCCUUUUCCUAUCGGCGGUGAGGAAUCUUAUCACCUGCAAUAAAAAGAAAACGCACAAACAACAAUGGGUUUUAAUCGUUUCCUUCCUUUAGAUCGGACCAUCCUUUGUCCUCUUUCUUCCUCCUGGUUCCUUUCCCUCUGCUGGUGGCAAAUCUAGCCGUUGGCUUGUGAUCCCAAUCUACCACGUGGGGUUGAACUGAUGAAGAAGAAUCGAUUGAUGAGGAAGGGGACGAUCUAUGAGUUCACCCGUGUGUGGGUUGCCGCUAUGUUCGGGCUGCUUCGGGUUGGUUUCGGUGGAGACCGGUCUGUGCCGAUGAUGGAUUGUGGGCAAUGGUGGAGCUAGUUGGGGGCUGUGGCUGGCUUCUGGUUUUGGGAGCUAAAAAUCCCAAUGGCAGGGUGGUGGCCAUAAAUGAAGGAGAUGCUGUGAGCAGGGUCUGCUAGUUGGGGCUAAGGGGAGAAAGGUGAUGGUGGCCAGAGGAGAAGAAGAUGGGGGAGCUUUUUUUAGUUUUGGGAGAGAACCCCGAGGAAGAGAGCUCUGGUUUUUUUACAAAGGGAGAGGCGGCUACCUGUGUUGAUGACCUGGAGAGGGAAACUGAGUGAAGGUUGCCUUGGAGAACUGGUUCAGUGCUGGGAGAAGGAAGAUGGACCAAAUAUGCAAGCAGGGGGGGUUGCGACUUUUGUCUAGAUCAGUUUAGGUUAGGGUUUUCUCUUUUGUUUCCCCCAAAAUUUUCUCCGCCCUCUUUUUUCUAAAUUUUUCUCCUUCCUUUUUUUCACUGUAGACUGUAUUUAUAGGAGAAAUGUUGCUUAACCACAAUCACAUUGGUCCCUUAACUCUUUUGUUUUUGUCAAUUUUGAUUUUUUUUUCUUAUUUUUUUUUAUUUUUGAAAGCGAGCAAUAUCAACGUCAACUCAAUAAGAAAAAUCAGUGAUUGUAAAAGUAACGCGUUAAAAGUUGAACGCGUUCAAAAUACUUUUGAAAAUUUAAAUUCUUCUAAUAUGACAUUGAAAAUGCUAAAAACAAUGCAAAUAUAUCAAAAAUGUAUUGUUUUUGGGUUUUCAUAGUUUUUUUGCUAUUCUUUGGUUUUUUCUAAAAAUUUAUAAAAACAAAAUAGGGGUAAAAAAUUGGGUAGCAACAAGAACCAUCAACAAAUAUAGACACUCCUUGACCCAACAAAUAAGGUUUCGUUUGCAUUCUCUAGUACAUACGAGAAACAUUAUUAGGAGGUUGUGUUAAUAGAUAGCAACCCUCCUCUCUUUUUUGGAUAAUAGUCGAUGGUAUUAUUAAGAAAAUAGCUAAAAAGAUAAUAGCCUAGCUUACAAAAGUUCUAGCUGAAAAGGAAAGAAAAAAGAAAGCAAGAAAGAAAAUAAGCUUUUGAGGUUUUGAAACAGGGGAAGGAAAAUAUAGGGAAAAGAAAAAAAACAAAUGAAAUCAGCUCCUCUUUUCUACAGAAUCGUUGGCAUCAUAGUUGUUAUAAACAUUCUCGCCAACGAGGUCCAAAGAAUUGGAAUCAAGCCUCGGCCAUAAUGAGAAACUUUGGAGGACCAUGGAAAAACAACUUUGAUGGUUUGGGGUAGCGUCAUUAAAGAUGUCAUCAUUUCGAUGAAGCCAAAGAUUCCACAAAAUGCAGGAGAAAAAAACCUACCAUGAGAGAUUUUGUUGUUCGCCUUUCACUGUGGAAAACCAUUGGUAGCAUAUAUCAUUAAAAGGUUUUGGGAAAACACUAUUAAUACCCCAUUGUGAAAGGAAUUUCAUCCAUAGAUUCCAAGCAAAGUGGUAGUGAAUGAAGAGGUGACUUGAAGAUUUUAGGCUUUUAUUGCAAAAUACACAUCUUGAUUCCUAAAGGGUAAGGAAGUCAUGUUGAAACUAGAAAUCUCUAGUGGAUACUUUGUCUUGGACAAGAAGCCAGAGGAAUAAUUGCAUUUUUGGUGAGGCGUGUUGUGUCCAAACUAAAGACUAGAAUGAUCGAGCACCACCGUAGAGUAAACGAUCCAUCAUAUUGGAACAAAAUUUUACUCUUGAGAUGCCAUCUAUAUUGAGCGUCCAAAUUUUCUUGUCCAGCCUGAAGCAUAACAUAGUCUUGGAAUCCAAUAAGGAUGAUAAUAGUGAUAAAUGCUCUUGUUCAAAUUGGAACAGAGAGCGACGCCAUUGCAGGGACCAUGUUUAGAUACCAUUAAUACAUCUACCCAUGUUAGCCACCAAAGAUGAUUUUGAGGAAGACAAGAUAUAGCAUGGGGAAGGCGGUUUUCAAAGGAAAAUCUCCAAUCCAAUUAUCUAGCCAAAAAGAUGUUAAUCUGCCAUUGCCCACAAUGAAUUUGCAAUGUUUUGUGAAGACAUGAUGAUCAUCGGUUUUAAGAAUGUUCAUAUUAUCCCUCUAGAUUUUGGAGGGGUGCUUGUUGAAGAUCAGAAUCCCAUUCUCGAAAACUGGAUUGUACAUAGUAACAAUAAUGUUUUUCCAUAAACCUGAACCCGAAGAGGAAAGACUGGAUUGUACAAAGUAACAAUAAUGUUUUUCCAUAAACAUAAACCCGAAGAGGAAAGUCUCCAAAUCCAUUUUAGCAACAAGGCUCUAUUUUUUGACAUAAGGAAGCCUACACCAAGGCCUUCUUGUUUCUUAUCGUGCAUCACCAAUCUCAAUUGGAUCUUACAAAAAUAUCUCUACUUGGUGCAGCCACACCAUAAGAAUCAUCGUUGGACGGAGGAAAGUAAUCUACAUACCCCUAUCGACAUCAUGAAUACAAACAUAAAAUCGAUAGACAGGGAGUUGAGAACAUUUUUUAUGAGACAUAGUUGCCCAGCCAUGCUUAAUCACCUCCCUUUCCACUGAUUAAGCCUUUUAUAAAAUUUGUCUAUAACUAGUUUCCAGGUGGAGAUGCAAGAUGGAUUGGCCCUUAUUGGCAUGUUAAGAUAAUUGCAUGGAAGAGAGUUAGGCCUUUAGAAAAUAAUCCUAGACAAACACAAAUGAUCUUCUACAUUGAUGCCAAUAUUAGAUCUUUUAUGGAAAUUAAUGUGAAGGCUUGAACUUAGAGCAAACCAUCUAAGAAUUAUUUUGACUUGAAGUAAAUGGUCAAUAUUUGUCGAGAUGAAGAUUAAUGUGUCAUCUUCGUAUUGCAAGUGACUAAGGAAAGGUCCUGAAACAAACUGUAACCAGAGAAAAUGUUUCCCAUAGAUGCCCUAUGGAAAAGGACCGAGAGGCCUUCAGCAGCUACGUCAAAAAGAAAAGGGGAUAUCAAGUCUCCUUGACACUGUCCUCGAAAAAUAGAGAAUUCUUUUGAAUGAGAUCCAUUUAUGAGAACUGAGAGGUUUAAGGAAGAUAGACAUUCAUAAAUCAUGUUCCUCUAUUUCCUUCCAAACCCUAUAUAGCCCAUGAUAUCAUCUAGGUAAUACCAAGAGACUAAGUCGAAGGCCUUAUGGAAAUCAAUCUUAAAUAUCAGACCUUAGAUUUUUGUUUUUUCAAAUCACAAACUAGCUCAUUUGCUAUUAUGAAGCCAUUUAUUAUAUUGUCGUCUGCUAUGAAAGCUAAUUGAUUAAUGCUAAUGAUGUCUUGCAUAACUGACUUCAAUCUGGACGCAAGAAUUUUGGCAAUGAUUUUAUAGAUGCCAUAAAUCAUAUUGAUAGGCCGAAAUUCUUUAAACUCAUAAUGUUUUUUUAUCACUGAUUAGCAGCCCUCCUCUUAUAUUUAUAUGUAGGGUUGUAUAUGGUAACAAGCAUAUAAUACACUGCACAAGAUUAUGAUCUUAUACAAGGUAAGUAUAUGUAUAUAUACAAAGUAUUCCUAUAAUUCCUAUAAAGUUCUCCAUAUAUAAUAGGCAACCCUUCAUGAAAUAUUAAUUGAUUUCUAGCCAUCCAAAUCCAUAAUUGAUGUUGGAACUUACCUUUUACCAUCACACUUCACGGUAUAAAAGCUUUCCUAUAGUUCUCGGCAUGCAUUAUUGUAAGCCCAACCAAUCGCAUAAUUUGUUGUUUUGUACCUAUUUGUUAUCCAUGCUGCUCUUGUUGCCAAGAUGUCCUUGUGUUUCCAUUGCAUUAUUGAUCGUGAAAAGUCAGGAAAAUAAUUUUCAUGAUUGCGUGAAACAAUUAAGGAUGCUGGUAGAUAUAUAGAAUGGUGGGGGACAAAGCCUUUAACUCAACAACAUUAUUUUUAUGUGCUUAUCAUGUUUUUUUUAUUCUAUUCAUCUCGAACUCCUUCCUAUAUGGUGCAUGCAUUCAACGGAUCUCUGGUGUGUCGUCGACAACUUUUUCUUCUUUUUUUUUCUUUUUUUUUCCUCCUAAAAAUUAAUGUUUGACCCUUUGAAUUAAUUAGCAGAUCAUCCCUUUAAGUUAUUUUUCUUUUGAUUUUGUUCCUCAUUUUUUUUAUUCCUAAUUUUUUAUUUUAAUUAAUUUCUCAAAUUUGAUUUUGUUUUCAAUUUCAUCCUUCUUUAGUUAAACAUUAAAAAAUAUAUAUAUUUUUUAAUUAAUAUUGAUAAUAAUUAAAAAAAACAAAUUAUCUCGAUUUCAUCUUUCAAUGUUGGAUUUUUUAGGAAAUAGACUUCUUAAGUGGUUUUUUUUCUUUGUAUAGUCUCAAACAAAUGUUUAUUUUUUGUGUUGAUGCUUAAAAUUAUGAGCAUCUAUUUUUUAUCAUAUAAUUAAAUAAAAAAAAUAAAUAAAAAUAAAGUUAUUAAACCAAGUUGAGUCCAUGAACCAAGUCGCGGGAUGACCGAGGUCAUCCAAUAUGUCAUCGUCUCAAUACUUAAAAAAAACUUUCAUUUUAAUUUUUUUUAUAUACUAAGUCAUCCUUUCGGUCAUUCAGAUUGCUUUAAACCUAUGAAAAUCAAUUGAUUCACAUUGAGUUAGCUCUAAUACAGUUUAAUUGAAAACUUAUGCUAGGUAAAAAGUCGGGUCAAGGGGUUUCAAAGCUUACCCGAUUGCCCAGGUUUAACGAAAUUGCUAAAAACAUCCCCCACUCUUUAUAUUUUUUUUUACGUUUAAAAAACUUUGAUCUGACUCGUAGUGGAGCAUGGGCCAAUGGACUAGUGAUACCCAAGAAAGAAGGAAAUUUGAGGUUUUUGUUUUGUUUUGAAACUCAAAGAUGCAUCUUAAUUCAAAAUUGUAAAUGGUCAGAUAAAGCUUUAUUAUGAUUUUAUAUUACUCUUUAACUCCUUUCUUCAAAUGAAAUUUCUUCAUAGUUGAAUCUUUUACAAGUUAAUCAUUAUCUUAUACAUAAUUUUUAAUUUAAUUAGAAAGAAUGAAGAUAAUAAUAUUUAAACUAGUUUGUGUUUGAUCAACUAAAUUUUGAUAUCAUAUCAAAUAAAUAUUUCAAUAAAAAAACUUAAAUUAUUAAGUAAUGCCAUAUAAUGGUUUUAUGUUAAAUACUAUAAAACAGUAAGAAUGAGUCAUUCAAUUUACAACUUAAAUCUUUUAGAUAAAAUUUAAUGUCAACUAUCUCAUUUAAUAUGGUAUUAGAACCACAGGAAAUUUUUACUGUUUGCAAAUAUCUUGAAAUAGACAUUAAAGAACACCAAAAAAAUGAAUUGCAAUUGAAAGGGACUAUCAUUCAAUGAAAAAUGACUUUUGUACUGUUGCAUCUUGGUGGAUGUCGGCAAGCUGUUUUUGUGUAAAAAGGAAAAAUAUAUGAAUAAAAAGGUAUUGCCAACUAGUUUUAUGUAUUUGUACAUUCAUGAAUUAUCGAGUUUUUAUACAUUUAUCUUAUUUAUUUAAAGUCUAGUUUAAGUGUCUUUUAGUCUAUGUAAUAAAUGAGUUUUAUGUGGGGGUUAAAUACAUUUAUCAUGCUUUGAUAAACGUGUAUGAUUUGAGUUGCGAUUUUUUUUAUUUUUUCCAAGAUUCGAUUUGCAAUUGAAUCCUCGUGAAAUGCCAAGAGGUGAAAUGAUGGGGGCUGAACUGUAAGGUACGAUGUUUGUUGAGUGGUGGUGCUAAUAUCUAGUGACGGCGACAUUAUAUUGCAUUUCUUCUAUUAUUAAUAUAAAAGGUACAUGUAUAUUUUUUUAAAAAAAUCGUUAUAGUAAGAGGAACUUGUGUUAUACAUGUCCUUAUUAUUUUUAUAAUUACACCCUUCUAAAUUAGAAUUAUAAAAUCAUAUAAUACAAUUUGAUAAUUAUAUAUAUCGAUUAUCAUAAUUCAUAAGCAAGUUCAUAAUUAAAGAUAUUGAUAUGGUUUUUUUUUUAAAAGACCUACCCACACAGAUCGCAUUCAACUAGCUUAGUAAUAACAUCUAGCCCGAUUUUGAAAUUGAAUAUAUAUAUAUAUAUAUAUAUAUAUAAAUAAAGUCUGACAAGCAAAAUUAAAAUGAUUAAGACUGGAAAUCAAAAUGAACACUGAAUUAAGCAGGGAACUGCAGCUGGGGAUAAGCUUUUGAAAAGUAAGGGAGAACAGAUAGUUAUCCUUCUUAAUUAGAACACAACUUGUGGUGAGCAAUGGCUGGGCGGUUUCUAAACAAUUUUCAUGAGUAAUGCACUCUAGUCAAAAGUAGAGUACAGGUGGGCAACUUCUUAGGCUACUUUUGAGAAUACGGGUUGCAUCGCAGCAACGUACACGUUAGCAUUUGCUCUCAUGUAACUGUCCUGCGUUUAUUGAAAACAUAUUUUAUUUUUUUUUGGAAUUGAUAAAUAUUAAUAUUUUUUUAGAUUACAAGUUGCUAUCUCAUUUUUUUUAUUCUAUUUUUGAAAAAAGUUUGAAAAAACAAAAAAAAAAUGCAAAAAAACAAAAACUCAAAAAAAAAAUGUUCUUGAUGUAGUUGCAUCAAUUUUCUUCGUCUUUUCCAAAGAAUUUUAAAAACAAAAAAGAAAAAAAUUCAUUUAUUAUUUUAGUUACUUAUUUGUAAUUGUGAAAGAGAGAACUGUCAAAGAAUCAUCUCAACCUAAAAGUUUAAGUUGUUAGGUGAGGUCCAAGGAUAUGAUUUAUAUUAUUUUCUAACACACCCCCUCAAGUAAAAGCCCUUUGGGCUUGAAACUUGCACAGGCCUACAUCAACUUGUGCUUAAUUUUUUUAUCAAAUAAAUAGAGAUGGUGAGAUUUGAACUCGUGACCGCUUGGUCAUCAAGGCUCUGAUACCAUAUCAAAGAACCAUCUCAACCUAAAAGCUUAAGCUUUUAGGUGAGGUCCCAGGAUAUGAUUUAUAUUAUUUUCUAACAAGAACCAAUUCUAAAAUUAAAAACUCUCUCACCAAGCAACUCAAUUUCUAAUCAAAUGGUCCACAAUCAAUUCUUUUAAUUCAAGGGUUAUUUUUUCUUUGUUUUGCUUUCAAGUUAUCAAAUGAGUGGUAGAGAUUUAUUCUUGAAAUCCAAUGAUUUGCUUUGCCUUCAAGCCAAAAAAAUAUUACACCUAUAAAUAGGUGGUUACACGCGCGUGCGUGCGUGAGAGAGAGAGAGAGAGAGAAUGGGGGGGGAGGGGAGAUCAAAAAAAUAAAGAAACGCCAAAAUACCAUCUUUCUCACAUUCUCUCCCCACUCACAAAAAAAAAAUCCUAACCUAUUUUCUUUACACCAAUCAUCACAAAAUAAAGAAAGGGAAGAAAAGAGAAGAGGAUCGAACCUUUAGCCAAGUAGAUCUCUUUCCUCAAAUGUUUGUAUGUUUGUUUGUCUCACGACUAGUGUAGUAAAAAAUAGGGGUAAGAGAAGUAUCGGUUCAUCUCCUCUAGUAGCAACUGCGUGUGAAUCCACAUGCUAACAGUGUUGGUGGCAAGUGGUACAUGUGUCCCCACUGUUCCAGCGGUCUUCAAGUUAUUUAUGUUUGGAUGUUUGAAAUAAUUUGAUUAUUUGAGUUGAAUUAUGGGUUUAUUUUUUGGGGGUUGUGAUUGCUUUAUAGACAUUAAAUAUUAGCACAUGAGUUGUGUUGGAAUCAAUGUUGAUUUUUUUGGAUUAGCAUGAAAUUUGAACAAACUAGGUGACAUUAAUAAACUAUGUGUGGAUGUUUGGUAUUGUUUGGGUUAAUGAAUGAUAAUUUGUUUUGAAUUGAUAUCGUGGUUAAAAUGGAUUUGAUAAAAACCUUUUAUUUGCAUCUUGCCAAAUACAUCCUUCGUUAGUUUUUAAUAAUUUUUAAAUGUUUGGAAGAUAAUUUUGCAAUCAAUUUUGAUUUCCCUACCUUUUUUACCCCUCCAAUAUUUAAUAUUUGGAAUUAGAACCAACACGCAAGAUGCUUUUUCAAUAUUAAACCAACCGAUUCCCUUCUAUUGUUACCUAUUUUUUUAGGGUUCCUACACAAAAAGAAAGAGGGGGAAAAGAGAAAAUAAAAAAUUAUUAAAAGAAAACCAAAAAAAAAUAUCAGUGAGAAGAGGAUACCAGAACGCUAAGAAAAUAGUCAAUAAUUGGUUGAGGAGGAUCAAAAUUAUAAAGAUUGAAAUUUGACAGUAUAUUUUUUACUGAUGAAGACUUUAUUGGCAAAGAAAAUUUAAUUUGAGGAAAAGAAAUUGAAAAUUACAUAUUUAAGGACUCGAUUAAAUUUUGUUGAAGGUUUAAUCGAAUUUAUGGAUGGCUUAAUUGCAAGAAACAAUUAUUUUUAAAGUCAAUUUAGGCUUUAAUUAGAAGAAAUUAAAGUUUAAUGGUUGAAUUGCAAUUUGUAAGAGUUAAUUUGGUCAAAUCAAGGGCUUAAUUGUAUAAAUAUUGAAGUUCAAUAGACAAUUAAGGAGUUGAUUGAAGAAAUCCAAAACUAAGGACCAAACUGGAAAAGCACGUGAAUGUAGGGAUUGAAAUUGACCGAAUCAGGGACCAAAUUGAAGAAAUUAAAAGUUGGUUGAUUAAUUAAGGAUCAAAAUGCACAAAUUUAAACCAAUGACAAAAAUUAAAAAGGCAGCCAACUUUAGGACUAACAUUUGAGUUGGUAGGGAUGAAAUUAAAUUGAUUCUUAAAAUCAAAAUAUCAAUUAAGGACUUAAUUGAAUAAAUCAAAAAUUAAGGACUGAUUUAGAGACAAAGACUUGUAAGGUUAUGUUUAAAAUGCCAAAAUGGCAUCAUUUAACUUAAAUGAAACGACAUAUUUUGUGUGAAACGACGUCGUUUUGUUUAUUAAUAAAAAAAAAGGACAAAGAACGAAACAACACAAUUUUGAUGGUACUGGUUUACAGGCGGGGAGGAUCGUUUUUCUUCCUUCCUUUGGAACAUGCUUCAGCUCCCUCCCUCUCCCCUCCACAUCCCCAUUCCACAACAUAACCCACGUCCCUCUCAUGGCCUACUCGAAAGGAGUAGAGAAACAAGUCCUUUAGGCGGCCUUUGAGCAGCUGUAAAGUGACCACCCAGCCACCCUACCCUUUGGUGUGCUUUGGACAAGAAUAGGGUGGUCCAAGCUCCCUCUUACCCCUAUAAAUACCCCCCCCCCUCACCAGGGGAGCGAGGAUAAAAGAAAUAUAGAAAAAAAGGAAGAACCAUAAAAGAAUAAAAAAAAAGAGCAAAAAAAAUAGGGAAAACAUAAGCCCUUGGCUCUGCCUAGAGAAGAACAUGCCCUCCCCCUUGAUAUAAAACCAGCUUCUCUCCUUCAUUGUUUUGGCAAUGUCAAACACCCUCCAAUGACCACUGGUACUAGUUUUGCUUCCACCAACAGCAACAACUCAUUCCUCCCAGUCGCCACCGCAGGCAACGCCAUCGUGAGCCUUCACCAAUGUUAGUGACCAUCAACCUUUCAUUCCAAGUAAUCUUCUUCUUCCUUCUGUUGAGUCUGCAUUUUUCUUUUGCUUCCUUUUGCUUGCAUGCAGAACGUGAUUAAUUCAUGUUUUGCAACAAGUUAAUUUUAAUUGACUGAUUACUGUGUUCAGCACAGUAACUAGUUAAUCGAUAUUUCGAGCUAGGCUGGGUCCACCCCUACCCCUAAAUAAAUAAGGUUUUGUUAGGCCUUUGGUAGGUCCAAUUAGAUGGGCUGGAUUUGGGCCCCAAGCCCAACCACCCCAGUCUCGAGGCUAAAGGUGUGUUUAGCAUACACACUUUUAUAUUUUUCCUUUAGUUUUAAAAUUGCUUUUAUCUUAAGAUGUGACAACACAAGCCCUUAAAAAACCUCAGAAAAUUCCAAAAACAUUCAUGGACCAUUUUAAAUCUAUUUGUAGGCCCCUUGAAUGUUUUCCUUAAUUUUAUACUUCAUAUCAAGGCUAGAGACUUAUAUUGUAAAAUACUGACCCAAUGUUGAAGUAUAUACUUUUCGCUGAAAUUUCAAAAUAUAUUUUUUGAAAAUUUUGAAAUAUUGGUCAAGUUCUCGUAAGUUUAAUAAACUAGUUAUUAAAGACAAAAUGCAUGAUAAAACAUGUUUUUUAAUUUUAUUUUAUUUUAUUGAAAAUAUGAUGUAUGAUAAAACAUGUUUUUUAAUUAUUAUUAUUUUUUUGAAAAUAUGAUGUAAGUUUUUUUCUUUCAAAGACUUGGGCAUAUGCAUGAAAAUAAAACACUUUAUAUAUAUAAUGUUUUUUGUUUUUUUUUCUUUUGCAAUGUUUGAAUGAAAACAGGUAUUUUAAUAUCGGAUUUGUAUCUUUACGGUAUAAAAAUACAAUCCAACAUUAAGCAAAAUUGAUAAAAAUACACGUGGGAAAACAAAACACAAAUUUUUCAAAAGGAAAUUUUUUUUAAGAGAAAACAUUUUGAGCUAGGUCAACCCUGUCUGGCCCAACGAACAGUGGAGAGUGAAUUAAUUCACUCUCCACUGUUCAAACAAAACAGUGGAGAACAAAGAUGAUGAAGAAAAAGAAGAAAGGGAAGGGGGGUGUCGCACCCAAAAAAAAUCCAAUUGCGGGUUCGACUGGCGAAUUAUUUUUUUUUUUUGUUCUUUGGAGUCGCCACCUAGUAUUUUGGUCACUAGGAACCUAACUGGUCUCAGAGAUCGGGUACGGAGACUGGUUGCAUAAAGGGAAGGUAUUAGCACCCCAAAUACGCCUUACCUAAGGUAAGCUGCAUUGUUUUAUUGUCUGAUAAAAAAACCAAAGUGUUAUUGUACUUCUUGUUGUAACCCAUUUUUGGGUCCCCCUGAAAAAUAAAAUAAAUAGCCAAAAGAGGUUAGAAAAAUAACCGGAGGCAGAAGCGCCCGGAAAACAGUCAGAAAAUUGGUCAAGGAAUUCAAAAAUACAAGGAUUGAAUUUUUGACAGUAUAUUCUUGAAGGAUGAAAGCCCUAUUGAGAAGGAAAAUUUGAAUUUUGGGAGAAAAGCCCAAAUUUGGAUUUUAUGGACUUAAUUGGAUUUUUAUGGACUUAAUUGGAUUUUUAUUGGAUUUUUAUUUAUAGAAGAUUUGAUUCCAAAAAAAUUGAUUUUUAAGUCAAUUUGGGCUUUAAUUUAAAUAAAUUUAAGUUCUGGGGCCAAAAUAUAUUUUUUAGAAAUUUAUUGGGUCAAAUCAGGGGCUUAAUUGCAUAAAUAUUGAAGUUUAAUGGCCAAUUAGGGACUUAAUUGUGAAAAUCCGAAACCAGGGACCAAUUUGGAGAAGGCGCAAAGAUAGAGGGGGCUGUUUGGAAUUGUUUCAGGGGCUUAAUUGAAGAAAUUGGAAGUUUAUUGAUCAAUUAAGGGCUUAAUUGUGAAAAUCAGAGGCCAAGGACCAAAGUGAAAAACGCGGCCAACUAUAGGGGUAGGGACCGAAUUUGGCAGGGACGCAAUUGAAUUUUAUUCUUGAUUGAAGGACUCGAUUGAAGGACUUAAUAGAACAAAUGACAAAUUAGGGACUGAUUUAAAAACAAAGUUUCUGGCGUUUUUUUUUAAAUGAAACGGCGCGUUUUGUCCAAAACGACGCCGUUUCAUGCAUAAUUAUUAUAAAAAAAAAAAAAAGGGGAAACCGAACGGUGCCGUUUUGAACGGCACUGUUCACUGUCUUCUUCCCCCAACGUUACAGCGGGGAAGAAGAAAAACUUUGUAUUUUUUAUUUUUUUUGCAGGUCCCCCUUACCAACCGACAGAGACCCUACGCCGGUGGGCCACCGACAGAAACAAUGGCCGACAACCCGCCUCGUGGCCGAAGCCGAGGGAGGCCCGCCGCUCCCCGACAGCCGCUCCUCACCCGCUCCUGGGAUAAAUAGAGGACUGAAAGGGACACGGGACGAAAAAAAAAAGAGAAAGGAGGAAAAAACAAGAAAAAGAAGAGAGAGAAACCCUGUAACAGAGGAGAGAGAAGCCGCCGUCCGUGAACGAGGAGACAUGCCACCACCACGCAGCUCCGCCAGCACCAGGUACGCCUCCUCUACUCCCCCUGCAUUUUUUCUGUUAAUAUAUAUAUGUUUUGCCUCCUGCAUGCAGAAUCGUUCUGCAUGCAGACUCCCCCCGUGUUUUCUUUUUAUUUUUUCUCUGGGCCAGAUUGUGUCUGGCCCAGAGUUAUGUGGACGGGCCAGAGGGAUCUGGCCCAGUCCGGCGGUCUGGGCCGGGUCCGGCCCAGACCGAGGUUAAUUAGUUUCUGGGCCGAGUUCGGCCCAGUACCUGUUGGGCCGAGUCGGCCCAGUACCUGUUGGGCCGAGGUCGGCCCAACGACUGUUAGGGCUGGGUCCGGCCCAGUUUGGUUUGGGCCGGCCCAGCCCCUUUUUAAUAUAUAAAUAUAUUAUAAUUAUAUUAUAUUAUUAUUAUUAUAUGUGUAUCUACAUAUAUACAUUUUUUUUCCUUUGAAAAAAAAUCUAAAAAAAAAUUUUGGUUGUUAUUUUCUUUUCAUAUAAAUAUAUUGUUGCUUUACACAUUUGGUUUUGUAUUUUUAUACUGUAAAGAUACAAAACCAGUGUUAAAAAUACCCGGUUUUCGUCAAAAUAUCAAAGAUUUUCAGAAUAAAAAAUGUUUUCGCUUUCAAAAAAUUUCUAAAAAUUCCCUAAAAAUAUUGUUGAUUUUUCUGCAUAUUUUUAUCAAAAUGGUUUAAUUUUGGUUUGUAUUUUUAUACCGUAAGGAUACAAGCUCAGUAUUAAAAUACCCGAUUUUCGUCAAAGCAUAAAAAAAAAUAUUUUCUAAAAAUUGUUUUUUUUGUUUUAAAAUACGGCCUAAUCUCUCCAAUAUAUAUACAUAAAUAUUAUAACAUCAUAUUUUCACACAACAAAGAAAAUUUUCAAAAACAAUAUAUGUAUUAACAUGCAUUUUGGCUUUAAUAACCAGUUUAUUCAAGCCAUGAGAACUAGGCCAAUAUUUCAAAAAUUCUAAAAAAAUCUUUUUGUUUUCUUUUAAUAUUUGGGAUUACGAAUUUAUACGUAAAACGUAUUCCUAAAUAUUAUUAAUAAAAUUUUGGUAUGGACGUUAGAACGGUUAGGAUUUUACCCGAUAAGAUAAAGACCUCCUUACUGAGGGGGAUUUUUCUUGAACCAUAGACAGACCAACAACUAGGAAAACACAAUAACACUUUAGUUUUGUUUUUAUCAGACAAUAAAACAAUGCAGCUUACCUUAGGUAGGGCGUAUUUGGGGUGCUAAUACCUUCCCUUUACGCAACCAGUCUCCGUACCCGAUCUCUGAGACCAGUUAGGUUCCUAGUGACCAAAAUACUAGGUGGCGACUCCAAAGAACCAAAAAAAAAAAAUAAUAAAAAAUUUCGCCAGUCGAACCCGCAAUAUUGAAAAACAAUAUUUUUUGGGGUGCGACACGUAUUCCGGAUAUUUAAUUCGUUUUUUUGUUUGGACAAUAGAACUCGGGGUACGACAUUACAUGUAAUGCAUAUUCUGGACAAUAGGAAACCAUAACAUGACUUAGAUUUUAUUAGACGAAACAAUGCAGCCUACCUUAGGUAGGGCGUAGUUGGGGUGCUAACACCUUCCCUUUACGCAACCAGUCUCCGUACCUGAUCUCUAAAGACCAGUAAGGGUUCCUACUAACCAGAAUACUAGGUGGCGACUCCCGGUCUUUUUUUUUUAGUUUAGAGACAAAGAACUCCUUGUCUCACCAUAUUUUCCACGCCAAAUAAACACAACACCCUCAUGAAGGGUUGGUGCAAUGGACAAUCGCCCCACCGUCGUACACGUGCGACAGGUUUGAUUAUGUUUUUUGAUAAAAAUCGAACCGAACCGAAAAUGAUCACCCCUAGCAGAUCAUAGAGUCAAGGAACAAAUUAUUUAAUUUUGAUGUUCGAGGAAAGCAACUUUUUAUAGUAUCGAAUCAAUUGAUGACCAAUUCAUAACGAUGAUACAACAAGAUUUAAAAAUUAAACAAUUUCUUUAAACAUUUUUGAAAUAUAAAUUUUAUGUUAAAAAAUUAUUUUAACCAAAUAACUUAAAUUAUAUGAUGAGAUUUCAAAAUAAAAUUUAUAUUAUUUUUUAACACGAUUCACACUAUCUUGCACUUAAAAUUAAACAAUUGUUUAUUAUUUUGAAAUAUAAAGGUAGUAAGAUUCAAGUUCAUAACUGUUUAGUCAUCAAGGCUCGAAUACCAUAUCAAAUAACCAUCUCAACCCAACAACUUAAAUUGUUAUGUAAGAUUCAAAGAUAUAAUUUAUAUUAUUCUCUAACGUUUCACAUUUAUUUUCCUUUUGAAGGGUCCUAGUUCAUUGAAACCAACACUACUAAAAAAUUAGAAAAUACACAUGGACACACUAACAUAAAUAUUCCGUCGAUAAAUUGCGGUGGAUUUUUCCGACUGAUUCUACCCUCACAAUAGCCAUCGGUAAACACCAUUAGAAAUAUUAUCUCGGUAUAUAUUGAGAGAAUUACAGUGGAAAAAGAAGGAAUGAAAAAAAAAGCCAAAAAGUAUAAUGACGUGUCAUUUUUAUAUACAGAUUUAAAUCCAUUGAUUAAACAGGUUAGUAAAUCUGUCUAUAAUAUUUAAUUUAUGACCUAAUAGGUGCCCCUCCUCUCCCUCUCCCUCGUUAAUUUCUUCUUCUUCCUCCAUUUUUCUCUACGACAAACACAACAACCCCACCAAUUUUUAUCGCAAAUCGACCUCCAACUAUAAAUCCAACCACCCCAAACACUAAGCUUAUCAGCAUCCUUAAUCUGAUUCAAAUUUUAUUGAAAAUUCUCCACUUCAAGUAAACAAAAAUACUCUUUUUUAUUAGAACUCAAUUUUAAAAUGUUAAUAUAUAUUGUAUGUUUUUGUAGUAUAUGUAUUUUUUGUGGGUGUCUACUUAUUUUUUUUUCCAUACCCUUUUCCGAUUGAAUAUGCUCUCAUAGUACUCAUCGUUAAACACCGAUGAAAAUAUUCUCUUGGUAUAUACCGAGAGAAUUACACUGAGAAAAGAAGGAAUGAAAAAAAAAAAAGUAUGAUGGCGUGUCAUUUUUAUAGAUAGAAUUACUGACAAAUUUUAAUCCGUCAAUUAAAUUCACAAGUAACAUUUAAUUUAUAACCUGAUUAGUGACCUUUCUCUCUCCCUUUCCCAUUAAUUUCUUCUUCCCCUUCCUCCAUUUUUGUACUAAAAAAGCACCACAACCCCCUUUCAGAUUUUAUCACAAAUCAACUUCCCACUAAAAAUCUAGCAUGCACCCCUAACACUUAGUUUGUCAACAUACAUGUUCUAAUUCAAAUUUUAUUGGAUUCUCCACUUCAAGUAAGCAAAACUAUCCAUUUUUUAUUUGAACUCAAUUUUAAAAUGUUAAUCUUUAUUAUAUAUUUUUGUAGUAUAUGCAUUUUAUUUGGGCAUUUACUUGUUUUAUAGCUUUUUCCUAUAGAUAUUUGUUGUAUGAAUGCAUGAUUUGUACAUGUUAUAGUUUGUUUGAGAUUUUGUAAAAUUGUAUUUGUUUGUAAAUUGAUGAAAUUUACUUUUAAUUUUUUACUUAGGUUUUUUGUGAUGAAAUAAAUAAUGAUUUAUUUAAUGAGUCUUUUUUUUAUAUUUUGUUAAUUUUAUUGUUGAGUUGAAAUUUUUAGUAAAUGUAUAGAAAUUUGAAUUUAUGUAGAUAAUUGAUAAUGAACUAGUUGUACUAUUAAAAUAGUUUGAAUAAGUUUGAGUUAUAACAAUGUUAUGUUAUUGACUUAGUUUACAUAAUUAAUUAACACAUGUUGUCAUCAAUAUUUUAUAUAGGUUUGACAUAAAUAAGGAAUGAUCGUUCAUGGUGGCGGUUUGAAAUGAUUUCAAACCUCCAUACAUCUUAGAGGCCAGCACGUGACACCUAAUCGUUUCGUGUGAUGAUCAUUCUCCGGUGUUUCAAUCAUUGGAUGCUCAUAAUCGGUUCUAAGCACUCCAACUCUAGAGUUCAAGGUGAUUUUAGACCAGCGAGUUAAAGAUCGGACAACUCAUCUUGCUGCUGAUUAUAAAAGAUUUGGUAUUGAUCAGAUGUCCAAACUCUGUCGAUUGGUGUCCGAAGAUGAGAUCACAAAUGGGUGGUACAUGUGCUACCUCUUAUUCGCUCCACGUGCUAGGCAAAGACCCGUCCCCUCCUCCUCCCUCCUCCUCCAGUACCUUUAUUUUAGAUUAAUUGUAUAUGAACUUAUAAAUGUUUAGAGUUUUAAUAAAUAUUUUAAUUUUAUAUUAAUUUAAUUUUUUAAUUGUUUUUUAUUUUUGUUUAAUAGAUUUUUAAAAAUAUAUAUUUUUAAAUUAUUACUGAUAGGGUUACCGAUGGACUAUGUCUGCCAAUAUAUUCUAUGGAGCUACACAAUAAUUAUUGCAAAUGCCACAGCCACUAUUUACUCACCGAUGAAAUAAUAGACGAUCUGUUUGACAGUUACAUGUCAAGUUUAUCAGUUGACAUGCUAUAAAUCACCAAUGGAGUGACAUAUGAUAUUUUUGUCAAAGAUAUGUUAUAUUCAGCGAUGAAAGUACAAACAAAAUGAAGCGGCAAUUUUUUUUUUGGCAUCCAUCUAUAAAAUUAUUACUGAUGGAUUCACUGACAUGCUAUAAAUCACUAAUGAGAGUUUUUUUGAUGGAUUAUUUUUGUUCGUGAUCACGUUGGUAAGAUUCAUGUUGACAAACUGUGAGUAUAAAAUACCACCAAAAAAUUCUGUUGAUAAAUCUUAAAAUUUUAUUUUAGUAGUGCAAUAAGUUCUUAUAUAUCAGCCGUUGAACAUAUAAAGUGAGGAUCAAACACUCCGCUAGAUUGACUUGGUAAUUAUGCUAUAUAUAUAUAUAUAUAUAUAUAUAUAUAUAUAUAUAUAUAUAAAGAAAUGGCAAUGCAAUCGUAUACAUUAGACUUUUGGAAAUAAAAAAUAAAAUAAAAAAGUGAUUAAGUAUAGGUAAGUGAUAGCUCACAUAUAAAGAGCAGCAAGUCAUCGCAAACACGCUUUCUAAAGCCUGUAUGAUAUUGUUUUUGUUUUUUUUUUUAUCUUUUAAUUUUAUUUUCGAACUUCUGAAAAAAAAGUGGUUUUCAAAAGUCACAAGUCAAAAUGUCGAGUUCAAAGCCUCAAAACUCGAGUCAGGACAGCACAUAUAUAGGCUUUAAGAUGCUGGAUCAAGGUUAGGUCCAUAACUAUUUGAGAUCGAGUUAGUGGCACCGAGUUUCAAGUCUAGGGAGUUUAGGGAUUAGUUCCAAUAACUCAAGUACAUUUUCUAAAUAAAAAAUGAAAAUAGAAACAGAAAUGAUAUCGAACAACCCUAAGCAAGUAAAAGAAAAAAAGUUUCUAUGCUGAUAUAGUCAACGAAAAAACUCAUGUUCUACGUACUUGUGACCAAAGGCUGAUGAAUAUGCCUUGGCAAUAUUCUAAUGCGAACGAUGACAAACCUCAAGAUUUUAAAUAUUGUAUUUGAGCGAAUGACUCAAGAUGCCAAGACUUUUCUUGAAUUUAACAGGUAAUCAAUUGAAUUGAUUGUUAAAAUCAAAAUUACAAUCGAGGACUCGACUAAACAGAUCACAAAUUGAGGACUGAUUUGUAUUUUCACAUAAGUUUAGCACCGUUUUCAUUUAAAUGAAACGGCGCGUUUUGCCCAAAAUGACACCAUUUCAUACACUAUUAAAAAAAGAAGAGAAAAGCCAAAAAUAGUGCCAUUUUGAAUGGCACUAUAGCUUUUCUUCUUCCCCUGGACGCGUAGAAAACAGGGGAAGAAGAAGGUUUGGUUUUGUUCCCCUGUUUUCACUGACAUCUCUCCUCUCCCUCCCUCUCCUAAAACUCAAAAAGACAACGACCCAAGUACCACACUUGCCUGAAUACUGAUCGGUGGCCUACCAUGGAUGAAAAAACAGAGUGGACAAGCACUAGCUGGCACUCGUCCACCCUGCAAGUGGAGGAGGGAAAGGACCGAAAGGAAAGAAAAAAAAAAAAGAAGAAAAGAAGAAGAGGGAAAACAGUCUGAAGACCGAAAAAAAGAAGAAGAGAAAAGUAGAGGUGAAAGGAAAAAAAGAAGCAAAAGAGAAUAGAGAGAAAGAAGAAAACGAAGGGAGGAGACAGAGUAGAGAAGAGAGAAAAGAGGAGGAAAAAAAAGAAGAGAAGAGAAGAAAAACCGAAAGAAGGUAGGGAGAGAAAGAACAUAAAAAUAAAGAAGAAGAGAGACAGAGGAGAGGAGAAAAAAAAAUAAGAGCAAAAAACAGGGGAGAAGAAGAAGAAAAACCACCACCCCUGCCGCCUCCGUUGUCGCCAGCAAUCAUCAACGUCACCACCGCUCCAGGUAGUUGCGCCUCCCUCUUCCCUGUUUGUUAUGCGUUGCCUGCAUUUGGAUGUAGAACGUGAAUAAAUCAUGUUCUACAGCAAAUGCAGAGGUGGCUAGUUACUGUGCUCAUGCACAGUAUCCAGCUUUAUUAGUGAUGGGUUAGAACAUCAGUCCAGCCCACAAUAUAUGAGUCGGGUCAAGCCUAGUCCAUAAUGGUUGGGCCAGGUCUGGCCAUGGUUUUUUUUUUUUUUAAGAAAAAUUAAAUUUUUUUUUUUAGAAUUUUACAAUUUUCCCAUGUAUUUUUUAUGUCAUUUUGAUUAAUAUUGGUUAAUAUUUUUAUGUUGCUAAAAAUAUGAAUCUGGUAUUAAAAUACCCGAUUUUCGUCAAAAACUUUCAAAAUACAAAAAAAGUUGAAGAAAGAAAAUAUUUUUGUGCAUACAGCCAGGUGUCUCAAAGCUAAAAAAAUCAUAUUGUGUUUGUUAUACACUAGGAAAAAAUAUUUUAGUGUGCAUUUUGGCUUUAAUAACCAAUUUAUUAAAAUCAAUAGAACAUUGGCCAAAAUUGCAAGAACAACAAAAAUUUUAUUUUGUUUGUCUUUUAGUAUCUAGGUUAUGACAUUACACAUAAUACGUAUUCCAGAUAUUAAAAUCUUUUUUUAGACUCUAGAACGGUUAGAUUCUACCCCAUUAAGAUAAGAACCUCCUUAUUAAGGAGGGCUUUUCUUGAACCUUAGGCAGACAAACAAUUAGAAAACACAAUAAGACCUUAGAUUUUAUCAGACAUUCAAACAAUGUAGCCUAUCUUAGGUAGGGCAUAGUUGGGGUGCUAAUACUUUUCCUUUACACAACCUAUCUUCAUACCCGAUCUUUGAGACCAGUUAAGGUUCCUAGUAACCAUAAUAUUAGGUGACGACUCCCAGUCCAUAUUUUAUUGAUAAGAGACAAGAAUUCCUUGUCUCACCACACAUACCAGAGAUAUACCAUUUACAAUUUUUCCUUGAGGAUGGACGGUCACCACGACGCCGUACACGUGGGAAAGUGUAGAUGAAAUGAAGCGGGUAAAUUUUUUUUGGCGUGCUUUAUCCGACAAUAAAUCCAUCUAUAAAAUUAUUACCAAUGGACUAGUCUACAUAUUAUAAAUCACCAAUAGAAUUUUUUUGAUAAAUUAUUUAUGUUUGUGAUUAUGUCAGCAAGAUUCAUGUCGAUGGACUGUGAGUGUAAAUACCGAAAGAAAAUUAUGUUGAUAAAUCUAAAAUUAUGGUAGUGCAAUAAGUUCUUUUAUAUCAGCCGCUAAAUAGAUAAAGUGAGGAUCAAACACUCCACUAGAUUGACUUGGUAAUUAAGCUAAGCUACUAUAUAAAUUACCAAGUCAAUCUAUAUAUAUUAAGCUUAGCUUAAUUACCAAGUCAAUCUAUAUAAGUAUAUAAAGAUUGACUUGGUAAUUAAGCUAAGCUACUAUAUAAAUUACCAAGUCAAUCUAUAUAUAUUGAGCUUAGCUUAAUUACCAAGUCAAUCAAGUCAAUCUAUAUAUAUUGAGCUUAGCUUAAUUACCAAGUCAAUCUAUAUUGACUUGGUAAUUAAGCUAAGCUCAAUAUAUAUAGAUUGACUUGGUAAUUUAUAUAGUAGCUUAGCUUAAUUACAUAGUAUGUAUAUAUAUAGAUUGACUUAAUUACCAAGUCAAUCUAUACUUGGUAAUUUUAUAUAUAUAUAUAUAGAUUGACUUGGUAAUUUAUAUAGUAGCUGAGCUUAAUUACCAAGUCAAUAUAAACUUGGUAAUUGAGCUAAGCUACUAUAUAUAUAUAAAUUAAGCUACUAUAAUUACCAAGUCAAUCUAUAUAUAAAUUGACUUGGUAAUUAUAGUAGCUUAAUUUAUAUGUAAUUAAGCUAAGCUACUAUAUAAAUAACCAAGUCAAUCUAUAUAUAUACUAUAUAGAUUGACUUGGUAAUUAAGCUAAGCUACUAUAUACAUACUAUGUAUAUAAUAUGUAUAUAUAUAGGUUGACUUGGUAAUUAAGCUAAGCUACAAUAUAUAUUAUUAUAUAUAUAGUAGCUUAGCUUAAUUACCAAGUCAAUCUAGGGGAAAGAAAUGACUAUGCAAUCGUAUACAUUAGACUUUUGAAAAUAAAAAAUAAAAUAAAAAGUGAUUAAGUAUAGGCAAGUGAUAGCUCACAUAAAGAGCAGCAAGUCAUCGCAAACUAGCUUUCAAAAGCCUGUUUGAUAUUGUUUUCGGUUUUUUUUUUAUCUUUUAAUUUUAUUUUCGAACUUCUGAAAAAAAAAGUGGUUUUCAGAAGUCACAAGUCAAAAUGUCGAGUUCAAAGCCUCAAAACUCGAGUCAGGACAGCAUACAUAUAUAGCUUUAAGAUGCUGGAUCAAGGUUAGGUCCAUAACUAUUUGAGAUCGAGUUAGUGCAUGGCACCGAGUUUCAAGUCUAGGGAGUUUAGGGAUCAGUUCCAAUAACUCAAGUACAUUUUCUAAAUAAAAAAUGAAAAUAGAAACAGAAAUGAUAUCGAACAACCCUAAGCAAGUAAAAGAACAAAAGUUUCUAUGCUGAUAUAGUCAACGAAAAAACUCAUGAUCUACGUACUUGUGACCCAAGGCUGAUGAAUAUUGCCUUGGCAAUAUUCUAAUGUGAACGAUGACAAACCUCAAGAUUUUUAAAUAUUGUAUUUGAGCGAAUGACUCAAGAUGCCAAGACUUUCUUGCUUUCAGACAAAGCGGGGUACGUAUCUCCAUACUUCGAGGGCACAUUCAUAAUGUUCGACUGUUUCUUAGGCAAUGGGAGCUUAAUUUGAAACAAAUCGGAAUCUGAUGAAAGAUGGGUGAAGAUGUGGGGAUGCUCCUGUUGAGUUAAAGACGCCGUGGGGCUUAGUUUCUAUGCUAGGAUGCUUCUAAGCUUCCUUGUGUAGUUUCUGUGGAUGUUGAGGGCACUUUAAUUUCUGAUGAAGUAGAGUAUUUGGGGAAUUAUGUAUGCCAUGCUACCUUUGUAUAUGGUUCCUAUAACUCUAAUGCUAGAAAAGAUCUUUGUAGAUGUUAAUUUCUGUUUCUAAACAGUCCCUUGAAGCUUUGAAAGGUCCUCUCAAGCAGUUAAACUCAUGAUAUUAUGGUGACAUGACAGGAAGAGUAAAGAAAGCAAGGGCUGACUUAAGGCGAAGAUUGUUUCAUUCAAAGUAGUUUUCUGAAAAUCAGUUUCUAAACUUGUAUGUGUUUGUUUACCAUUAAAAAAAUUAGUCAAUAAAAAAAAAUUUUAAUCAAAGAAAAAUUUAGUUUGGAUUUUCAAGAAAGUGUUUUUUUAUUAUUAUUUUAGACAGAAAACACUUUUCAGAAGUUGCGAAAAAAAUUAAAAAUAUCAUAUUAUUUAUUGAUUAUAUAAAAUUUAGCCCUCGAUCUUUUGAUUUUUAUAUAUUUUAUUUUGGAUUUCUUUUUAAUUUCAUCAUUUAAAUUUUGAUUUAAUUUAAUUUUUAUAUCAAACUUAUAUAAUCCCUAUUCUUUUGAUUGUUUGCUUUUUUCUUGCUGUUACUCAAUUUUGGACCCCCACAUGCUGGAAAUGGUGUAUACCUCUUUUGAAUUGAGUGUAGGAGUUUAGCUCAUGUUUGCUAGAAUAUUGACAAAAGCAGAGAAAUAAAUAUUUUUUUUCAAAACCUUGUUUGAGCUGUUUUCUGCUCUUUUUAUCCUUCCCCUGUGCUACCAAAAUCGUCAGGUUUUCUUAGAUUGAUCAGGAGUCUUCAUAAUGCUAAAUUUAUUCCUUCUUUAUUUGGUCUUUAAGGUUGGAUAAAUCCCUCAGAAUUUGCACUAUAAAAAAAAAUGGUUCUGCUGUUGUCACGAUUUUUUGUUACAAAUUAGGCUCUGAUUUUGACUUGGUUUCAUACGAUAUCUAACCAUCCUAGCUAUAUUUUGUCACUCAUGACAUGUUGAAAAAUUGACCUACACCUUUAUUAGGUCCUAGGGAUCAUUGUUCUUAGGGCAGAUUCUUAGUCAGAUUUGGAUGCUUAGCAUUGUCAAAUUAAGAACAUUUUUGACCAACUAGAUUACUACCAGAUUCUGUUUUCUAAAAUAAUUUUAUCUCACUCUGACUCCUUCAUCAAAGUUGUAGUCCUAGACGUGUAGAUAAAUUUGGGAUUUUGAAUCACUUGAUUUCGAUAUCAGAAGCUUAAGAUAUUCUCGUUUGAAUAUCUAACGUAAAGGUAGAGAAUUCUACCGCAAGAAGUAUCUCGACCCGAGUUUUGCACUAAAAACUCUAUUUCCACCACAUAUUUUGUUGAUUUGUUCUUAGAUCAUACUCGCAGUCAUAUCAGGAUUCUCGGCAUUAUCAGUUUCUGAAUUAGACCCGGAGAUCCUUUUUGACUAACUAGAUUACUACCAGAUUCUGUUCUCUAAAACAAUUUUAUCUCACUUCGACUCUUUCAUAAAAGUUAUAAUCCUGGACGUGUAGAUAAAUUUGGGCUUUUGAAUCGCUUGAUUUUGAUAUCAAAAGCUCAAGAUAUUCCCCUUUGAAUAUCUAACGUGAAGGUGGAGAAUUCUACCGCGAGAAGGAUCCUGACCCAAGUUUUGCAAUAAAAACUCUAUUUUUGUCACAAAUUUUGUUGAUUUGCUCUUAGAUCAUACUCUUAGUCAUAUCAGGAUUCCUGGCAUUAUCAAUUUCUGAAUUAGACCCGAAGAUCCUUUUUGACCAACUAGAUUACUACCAGAUUCUGUUCUCUAAAACAAUUUUAUCUCACUUCGACUGCUUCAUCAAAGUUGUGGUCUUGGACAUGUAGAUAAAUUUAGGCUUUUUAAUAGUUUGAUUUCGAUAUUAGAAGCUCAAGAUAUUCUCAUUUGAAUAUCUAACGUGAAGGUAGAGAAUUCUACCACGGGAAGGAUUUUGACCCGAGUUUUGCACUAAAAACUCUAUUUUGUCACAAAUUUUGUUGAUUUGUUCUUAGAUCAUACUCUCAGUCAUUAGGAUUCUCGACAUUGUCAGUUUCUGAAUUAGACCCAGAGAUCCUUUUUGACCAACCAGAUUACUGCUAGAUUCUGUUCUCUAAAAUGAUUUUAGAGACACUUUUACUCCUUCAUCAAAGUUGUAGUCCCGGACGCGUAGAUAAAUUUGGGCUUUUGAAUCGCUUGAUUUCGAUAUCACAAGCUCAAGAUUUUCCCAUUUGAAUGUGAAAGCAGAGAAUCCUACCGCAAGAAGGGUUUAGCCCAAGUUCGCGGGACUGAUUCAAAAGAUUGUUUUUGGACCAAGGACUGAAUCGAAAAGUGCUAAAAUGAGGAAUUGAAUUGAAGAAGGAUAUUUAGAGCUAGAGAGGAGAGCUGGAUCAUCAUAAAUGAUAGGAUUUUUACCACACCGAAUAAGGAAAGUAAGACUUUUCAGCAUGCACCCUUACCUAUCUGAUUUAUUUCCUUUUUAUCUUUGCAAAUUUCCUGUCGGUCUCCAUGUUUGUCUUGUUGAUUAGAGAGCUGCAGGCCACGUUUUUAUUGACUCAUUUCAAAGGAAACAGCUGGUGCCUCAUGGUCCUAGCUAUGGAAGGAAAUAAAGGAGUUGUACCACCACCCUUUGAUCAAUGGAAACUAACUGCUGAAAUCAAAAUAGGAAUUAGGAUAUUUCAAUUUCCUUUUGUGUUUUUUUUACUGCAGAUUAGCAGGGAUUUGCAUCCUAUAAUUAGUGCAUUGAAUAUUUCCUAAAUAGAGACAUGUUUAGACAUGAUUGAGCUAGAUUUUUGGGGUUUAAGAAUGAACCGAAUUUUAUUUGAGAAAAGUUAGUUUUGAGGGGCUAUCUUUGUUUUAUUAUAUUUUAUUUAUUUUUGAAAAGUUUUGAGAAUAUAUGUAUAUGCACACAGUUUGUCGUCUUUAAUUGUGAUUAACUAUGAUGCUUAUGUUUCGAUAAAAAAAAAAUGGUUCUCUUGUGUGUCGUAUACGACCAAUACCCUAACAUGUUUUUAACAUUUAUUUUUACAUAAAAAAAUAUUGAAAGUUUUGAAAAUAUGCUUUCUCAUGGAUUUCAUAAACAAAAAAAAAACAAAACAUCAUUUUCUUGCAUUUCUGGAUUUUACAACAUGUUUGUAAAACUCCAAAGGGUAUUGGCCAAUAUUCCAAAAAAUAAAAAAAAAUCUUAUUUUGGGGGGUAUUCAUCUAUUAUUCACUGUUAAUGUUUAGAUAAAGAAAUCCCAAAGGGAUAAAUAUCCAAAAUAAUAUUGGGAAUAACUUGUUAUUAUUCACUAUUAAUAUUUGGAUAAAGAAACCCUAAGUGGUAAAUAUCCAAAAUAAUUUUCUAGGAAUAAUAAGUCAUCACACAUCCUUGAAAGAAGUCUUGAUUAUAAUCGAGGACAUUUUAAUUUUUUACUUCACAGUUUACGAGCCGUGAGAGUAUAAAACACUAAGGCAAAAAUAGGUUUUUAUUAAAUCAUCCUAGAUUUCUAAAUUUUUGUCCAUCCUCCUUGUGAUUUACGAGUCGCAGAGUCUUGAAAUACUAAGGGAAAAAUGAGCUUUCAAAGCAUAUGAAAUUUCCUUGGAUUUCUAUCUUAAUAAAUUUAGUUUGUAUCAAACCUAGAAAAACUAAUGGGAUUAGAAAACACCAACACCAUAGCAAUUAUAAAGCAAACCAAACACCAAGCAACUUACCUUAGAUAUGCCGUACAAGAGGUCCUAAUACGUUCCCUUUAUGCAACCAGUCCCUUGCCUUAGAAUCUUUGAAAGACCAGUUAGGUUUUCUAGUGAUCAUAAUACUAGGUGGCGACUCCCUUUACACAACAAAAAAAAAACAAAAAAACCAAAAUCAAUUGAGGGUCGCCGCGACGCCGCACUCCGCCGUGAGGGUGUGACAUCUCUUAUCAUUUCUUAAUUGAAUUUUUUUAUCUAUCACAUUUGGUCCAUAUUCUUUUGAUUGUUAUUUGUUUUUCUCUUAUUAUUUUCUUAAUUAAAAUUUCUUACCUAACAGAUUUGGUCCAUAUUAUUUUGAUUGUUAUUUAUUUCAUUUGAAAUAAUUUAUGAAAUUGUGAUUUUUUUUAAUUUUAUCAUCUUUUAACUUUUUUUAUUUGUCAGAUUUGGUUUCUAUUAUUUUACUUGUUAUUUAUUUUAUUUGAAAUAAUUUAUGAAUUAGAUUUUUUUAUCUAAAAUAAAACACUUAUAAAAUUAAAAAUCAAUAAAAUAUCAAAGUGAUUGGAAAGGAAAUCAAAUCGAAAAAAAUUGCAUUGCUCAAAUAAUAAUCAACCAAAGGCCUCCAUAAAAAGGUCUAGGCAUGCGGGCCUGGACCAGCCCAGGCCCUUGGGCAUUUUUUUAUUUUAUUUUUUUAAAAGGUGCAUAAUAGGUCAUCUGCCCUUUAAUGAUUUAAGAUAAAUAGAGGUGAUGCAUCACUUGUGUCGUUGAGGUAGAUAACACGUCGCCUCUACUACCUCGAUUCCAAGUACCAAACGUCCUUGGAAAUUCAAUCUGGUCUAUUUCAGACCAAGAAAAAGUUAUUUUUAACCAUAUUUUAACUUGAAAAAACACAUGUAAAACAUAUCUAGAGCCUCCAUCAACCCAAAAAUUAUCUCUAAAAUUGACAAUCAACCCGAAACCAAGAUUCUUUUCGGGUUCACAUUCACCAUUUCAGACAAGUUUAAGGGAAAAACGACACUAUGUCUAAACUUUACUCAACAAAAAGAACCCAUUAAAAUCAAAAUUACCUAUUUUCACAGUCAAAAUCAGUCUCAAUCGAAACUUUUUCUAUCUACCACGGGAAUCUAGUCACUCUCUCAAACCGGGGAUGAAAAAAAUAAGGAAAAUGAAGUUUAGAACUGAAAUUGAAUUUCAUAAAAUUUUAAGGACUAAAAGCUUAUAUAUAAUCUUAAAAGUUGGGGGACUAAAGUACAUGUCUAGCCACAAUUCUAGCAAAACCAUAUCUUUUUGUUGUGUUUUUCAUUUUAGUCUCCUCUUUUUGAAUCUUGCCUUCCUUAAUAAAAGUCCUAUAAGUGGUCAUCAAUUUGGGCUUAUAAAGGUGCAAUAAAAAGAAGAAGAAAAUAAGAUGGACUAAAACAAAAUCAUCUAAUUUAGAAAACGGUGCAUAUUAUUGGAUCACUGGAUGAAUUAUUUUUUUAUAAAUAAUAUGAUUUCAUUCUUUGGUUUUUUUAAAAAAAAUACUUGGUGUUCAUCUUGCUGAGAUAGAUUAAAUUUGACAUGUUUAAUUUUUUUUUAUUUAAAUUAAAAGCUGAGCCAAAUUAGACCUAUUAAAUUUAAUAACUAUUAUUGAAAGUAAAAUAUAAUCUUUCAACUUUCGGAUUUAGAGUAACUUUUGUUGGGAGUGGGGUGAGAUAGAGAAAAUCAAAGGAGUGAUAAAAUCACACGGAGAGAUCAUAAAUAAUACUACUACAAGGCACCAAAUACUAAUUAUUAUACAUGUUAUUUUAUUAGUUUCGGAACGUCUGAUGAAGGGAAAUACAAUGAGAAAAUUAUAAAAUUGUCUAAAACUCAUGCAAAUCAAAUGAACAUAAGUGUUUCUCUGUGGACAUAUAAUUUGGACCCAAAAAUCACAAUUAUAUCAUUAACCAUGUAUGCUUUCGGUUCCUUAUUUAGAGAUUAGCACCCGUGAACAGUAGCAUGAGCACCGAUGAUACCAGCAGCAACAACAACAAGUUCAGUAAUUGCUCCUUAUUUGGAUAAUGGAUAUCCGAAACUCAAUUAGGUCUUCAAGAUUUAUAUCCGUUAGGGUUUAGGUGGAUAAUACCUUAAUUGCAUAGGCGGGACUCUCUGGCCCUUGUUGGACGUCCAAGCAUUGGUGGAUCUAUGUUGCCCGCAAAGAGAAAUCACCAGCGAUUAGUUGGGCUUCCGGCCCCUUAUAUUUAAACAGUGAUGAGCUCACAGCCAUCUGGCCCAUUUAGGCUUUGUCCAAAGAGAUAAGUGUGGAGUUGAAACCGGGUUUUACUUUACCCGACUCAAAAUGUCUCCAUCAUAGAUUUUUUAUCAUCUGUCCAUACCUCCAAUCUAGUGAAGUCGGGUUACAUAUGACUUUCUAGUAUCCAUCAAAAACCUGAUCUGAUCUAGGUGUUUUUUUUUAAUAAAAAAAUUAAUUUUAUCAAAAAAAUAAUCUACUUUUACAAAACUAACCAAAUCAUAAAAUAAAAUAAAUUUUUUUAUUUAUAAAAAAAUUUUAAAUUAUUAUUAAAGUAUCUUAAAUAAAAAUUUUAAUUAACUUUUUUAUAUAUAGAUUAUUAGGUCUGACGAUCAGAUCCAAAAUACUUGGGUAUUAUAAACAUUCUUGAUUUGAUGAAGAAUAAAAUAAAUCAUAAAAAAAACCUACAAAUAACCAAAAUAAAACAAAAGGAUUGUAAAAUUAUUAUUAUUAUAAUUUACAGUAAAAUAUCUUGAAUAUCAUUGGUUGAUAUUUAUUGACGGAAUCUUAUAUUUAUGACAAAAUAUUUUGAAUAAAUGACUUAAAAUUAAAUUAUUAUAUUUUGAAUUUAAUUUUGACUUAAAAUUAAAGACUAAUAUUUUGAAUUUGUGUGUUUUAUGUAAAAUUAAUCAGCUAAAACCUGGCCUAAGUAUCUGUUUAAUUUGUUCUCUCUAGUUUAAUACAUUUUUAUAGUUUUGAUAUUUUAAAAAGAGAAAAAAGAAAAGAAGAAAUUUAAUUCAUUAACACUUGCUAAAAUAGUUUUGAUACUAUCUCAUGAUUAAAAAAAAAAACAUGGACAUAGUUGGGAUAAAAGAGACAUGUUUCAUGUUUUUCUUUAAUCGGUCUAAGUUGAUAUUUAUUUUUCUUUGCCACGAGAAUCUAACUAUUUUUUCAAACUAGGGACCAAUAAAUAAGGAAAAUGAAGUUUAGGACUAAAAUUGAAUUUUAUAAAUUGUUAAGAACUAAAAGCUUAUCAUUUAAAAAGUUGGGAACUAAAGUAUAUAGAUAACCGCAAUUCUAGAAAAACCAUCCCUUUUUUGUUAUAUAUUUUUAUUUUAGUUUUCUAUUUUUGAAUCUUGCCUUCCUUAAUAAAUGUGAUAUAAUUGGUUAUUAAUUUGGGUGUAUAAAAAAAGAAGAAGAGGGACUAAAAAAAAUCAUCUAAUUUAAAAAAGGGUGCAUAUUAUUGGAUUAUUGGAUGAAUUAUUUUUUAUAAAUGAUAUUAAAUUUGACAUGAUUAAUUUUUUUUAUUUAAAUUAAAAGCUGAGCCAAAUUAGACCAAUUAAAUUUAAUAACUAUUAUUGAAACUAAAAUAUAAUCUUUCAACUUUCAGAUUUAGAGUAACUUUUGUUGGGAGUGGUGUGAGAUAGAGAAAAUCAAAGGAGUGAUAAAAUCACACGGAGAGAUCAUAAAUAGUACUACCACAAGGCACCAAAUACUAAUUAUUAUACAUGUUAUUUUAUUAGUUUCGGAACGUCUGAUGAAGGGAAAUACAAUGAGAAAAUUAUAAAAUUGCCUAAAACUAGUGCAAAUAAAAUGAACGUAAGUGUUUCAGUGUGGACAUAUAAUUUGGACCCAAAAAUCACAAUUCUAUCAUUAACCAUGUAUGCUUUCGGUUCCUUAUUUAGAGAUUAGCACCCGUGAACAGUAGCAUGAGCACCGAUGAUACCAGCAGCAACAAUAACAAGUUCAGUAAUUGCUCCUUAUUUGGAUAAUGGAUAUCCGAAACUCAAUUAGGUAUUCAAGAUUUAUAUCCGUUAGGGUUUAGGUGGAUAAUAUGACUCCUUAAUUGCAUAGGCGGGACUCUCUGGCCCUUGUUGGACGUCCAAGCAUUUAUAUCCGUUAGGGUUUAGGUGGAUCUAUGUUGCCCGCAAAGAGAAAUCACCUGUGAUUAGUUGGGCUUCCGGCCCCUUAUAUUUAAACAGUGAUGAGCUCACAGCCAUCUGGCCCAUUUAGGUUUUGUCCAAAGAGAUAAGUGUGGAGUUGAAAUCGGGUUUUACUUUACCCGACUCAAAAUGUCUCCAUCAUAGAUUUUUUUAUCAUCUGUCCAUACCUCCAAUCUAGUGAAGUCGGGUUACAUGAAUGACUUUCUAGUAUCUAUCAAAAACCCGAUCUGAUUUAGGGGUUUUUUUUAAUAAAAAAUUAAUUUUAUAAAAAAAAAAAACCUAUUUUUAUCCAAUAAACCAAAUCAUAAAAUAAAAUAAUUUUUUAUAUAUAAAAAAUAUUUAUAUUAUAAUUAAAGUAUUUUAAAUAAAAAUUCUAAUUAAUUUUUUAUUUUUUUAUUUUUUAUAGAUUAUUGGGUUUGACGAUAAGAUCCAAAAUACGUGGGUAUUAUAAACAUUCUUGAUUUGAUGAACAUUAAAAUAAAUCAUAAAAAAAAAAAAACAAAUAACCAAAAUAAAACAAAAAGAUUGUAAAAUUAUUAUUAUUAUAAUUUACAGUAAAAUAUCUUGAAUAUCAUUGGUUGAUAUUUAUUGACGGAAUCUUACAUUUAUGACAAGAUAUCUUGAAUAUCUCAUCCCAAAUGUAACUUUUUCAUUGGCCAAGAAAUAUAUAAACACUCAUUUAUUUUCCAUGUUAUUUAUUUAAAUUUUUUUUUAAAAAGAAUAAAAUAACACAUGACAAAAUUUAUGUUUAUAAAUAUAGUUUAUCUGUGAUGUAAGUUUUUUGAUGAAUGAAAUCAUCAUUCAAUGAACGAGAAGCAGGAUCGACCUGCUACAAAGCUAUAAUUUGUCUUCUUGAUUUAGCAAAAUCAUAAGUUGUCACAGAAAACCGCUCCCUCUAUUUCAAAGAUAUUGUUCACCUUUCAGUCCUAAAAUUAUAAUCCAUGAUUAAAAAAAUUAAACAAUUAAUUACUUGAUUUUACUAUAUAUUAUACCUCUAAUUAUAAUUUAUUUUAAUUCUUCCACUCAAGAUUCUCUCUUAUUUACUUUCAAAAGAUGAAUAAAAUAAUUUGAAAUAAGAUACGUAAAUAAUUGCUGAAAAGUUAAAUGAAAUAAUAUCUUUGAAACAGAUGGAUUGAACAAUACAUGCAAUUUGUUUUUUUAAUCCCUCCCUGAUUGGAUAUUAGGUAGGUAAUUAAGUGUCUUAAUCGUUAAGGACUCCUUGAUUAUAUAAAGAGGUUGUAAUUAUAAACCGAAUUAAUUUAUGACGCUGAAAGUAGAACUCCAUUAGGACAAUCCUUCUCACGACAGGAAACCUUUUUUAAUUUUGAGAUGGGAAACCAGAAGAAACAAGGAUUCCAUACACUUCUCAUCAACUUCGGACCAGAUCUUGGCUAUAGAUUGACAACUAAAGCCAUUGAAAUAGCUCAACUUGCAUUAGAUCUUCAAAUCACAACAGCGUCAACGAUGAACAGCAGCAAACCAGUACAUCUGCGCGAAGUCUGGGCAGACAACCUCGUAUAUGAGUUUUUUUCUAAUCAAGGAAGCGAUCUCUCGCUUCCCCUUGGUUGCUUUGGACACAGAAUUCCCUGGUACUAUCUUUCAAUUAAAUCGUGACAAGAGCUCGCUAUCUCAUGCCACUUGUUGUAACUCAUUUUUAGGUCUUCAUGUAAAAGAAUAAUAAAAUACAAAAACAAAUCCAAAAACUAUAUUAUCAAAAAAUAUAACAGUAAAAACAAAAUGCCAGAUCGCCCUAAAAAUGCUUAAAAAUUGAUUGAGGAUGUUCAAAAAUAUAAAAAUUUAAAUUUGACGGUAUAUCAUUGACUGAUGAGAGCCCUAUUGACAAAGAAUAUUUAAUUUGAGGAAGAAAAGUCCAAAAUCAGAAGUUUAUGGACUCAAUUAAAUUUUAUUGAAUAUUUAAUUGAAUUUAUAGAGGUUUUAAUUUCAAGAAAAAUUGAUUUUGGAGUUAAUUUGGGCUUUAAUUGGAAGAAAUUAAAGUUCUGAGGUCAAAUUAUAAUUUUUGGAAGUUAAUUUGGUCAAAUCAGGGGCUUAAUUGCAUAAAUAUUGAAGUUUAAUGGCCAAUUAGGGACUUAAUUGAAGAAAUCCAAGACCAAGGACUAAAAUGCAAAACGCGCGCAAAUUGCAGGCCUAAAUUUGAAAUUGAUGUGUUUGGCGCCAAAAUCCAUUUAAAUAAAACGGCACCGUUUCAUGCACUGUUCACCAAAAAAAAAAAAAACUCAAAACGGUGCCGUUUUGAACGGCACCAUCAUCUUCUUCCCCUGGACGCGCAAAAAACAGGAGAGAAGAAGAUUUUCUUCUCUCCUCUAUUCGCACCGACUUCCCUCCCCCCGAUAGCUUCAAAAAGACGCCAACCUAACCAAUGGCCUACCACCUUCCAGCUAGCACUCCCUGUCUACCCUGUCUUGUCCCCUAAACGGACAGAGAUAGGGCAUUUUUACCGUCUUUCUCUGCCUAUAUAUAUAUAUAUUAAAUUCUUAUAUUCUUAUAUGUUAUUGUAUAUUCAUAUUUGUAAUUUCCUCAUAUAUCAUUUCACUAUUUUUUUUAAAAAAGCCACAACAACCUCCAAAAGAAAAUUGAAUUUUAAAAAGCCUUAAACAAUUACAAAAAUAAAAUAAAACAAGCAUGAAAAGCCCACAAAACAUAAGAAAAUAAAAAAAAAUAAAAAGUGAACAAAAAACAUUUACUUGAAUAAUAUAAAAAAUAAAAAAAAAACCAUGCCAACAGAGCCUCACAACUAGAAAUUAAUUAUAUCUAUGGCAACAAAAUAAGUUUCACUGGAUAUGGAUUUUCAAAAUUUUUAUUAGUUACCAUUUAAAAAAAAAUAUAUCUAUGUUCUAUUUAAAAUGUUUUGGUACUCUCCAAGUUUUUUCAUUUCUAGGUUAUUUUUUAAAAAUAUGUUUUUAAUUUAUUUUUUCUAUUUUAUAUGUUUUUCAUGUCUUGUUAAGUUUUCAAUUUUUUUUUUUUUAACUUUGAUAUAUUUUAAGACUUAAUUUUUAUGUUGGAGGUCUUAGGGGUAUUUUCAUCCAAACAGUAACAAAAGAGUAUAUAAGAGAAAAUAUCUAUAUAUCCGUGCAUCCAAAUAUUGAUAAAAUCUUAACUUAUAAGCCCAUCCAAACCUUUAACAUGCCCUCAACCCUGAUUGUAGUGCUAUCAAAUGGUGCAUUUUGUGCACCUUAAUAAGCUCAGGCUGCCGUAUAAUAUCGGCCAGGUAGUCGGUCUCCUGAGAUCAAAUUAAACACACAUGGUUUGGCGAGGUACUAGCAUGAUGAGUGAGGUGGUAAAGGGCUUAGGCAUCAUCACCAACAAUUGUGAACAUAUGGUUGACUAUGGCGAAGAAAAGUAACUGAGUGGCUGCAACAUUGAUGACUCGGAAGAGGUUUGACUCACCAGAGUUUUUUUUUUUUUAAUCCUACCUGGGCUACAGCCCAACAGAGCCUUGUGAAAGGCUCCGCCCUUGUUCGUAUGCUAAAGUUAAAGAGUGCUGAAGAAGGAAAUAUUUGCAACUCGUGGUCUUGGGGUCAUAUUUCCAAAGCUUGUAAUCCAUCACCCAAGCCAGCACCACCGGAACAUAUUCCCGAUCAUGAAACACUAGCAGAGUGUUUAUAUCGGAGAACGCAACCCAUUCUUGGUCUGCUAGGAAAGUAAGCUUGCAUCCACUGCUGUCCUGAAAGGAGCUCUGGAUACGCAGCAGUGCUUACCAGAACAGAGACUAUUAAUUUCGUGCUCUGGGAACGCAUGUUGAGUCGCAUCCACUGACUUGGGGCCCAAUCUCUGUCAAUAGAGCACGGAUGUUGCAGCCGACUGCGAUGAACAGAUUACUGAAGGAGAAAAAGAAAGGACUUCCCUCCAAGUUCACAGGUGGACCGGAUUGCCUACCGGAACAACUGGAGGACAUAAUUGGACCUUUGACAACGGCAGCACCAUCUCCAAUAUUCAGAAAAAAAUUUAAUUCAGUAACACGUUGCUAAAAUAGCGGUUGAUACUUGAUACUAUCUCAAGAUACAAAAAUGAUGGACAUAGUUUGGAUAAAAGAGACAUGUUUCAUGUUUUUCUUGAAUCGAUUUUAAUCGAGAUUUUUUUUCUUUACCAUGAGAAUUUAGCCAUUCUUUUAAACUGGGACCAAUAAAUAAAGAAAAUGAAGUUUAUGACUGAAAUUGAAUUUUAUAAAUUAUUAAGAACUAAAAGUUUAUAAUUUAAAAAUUAAGAACUAAAAUAGACAAAAUUUAAUAACUAUUAUUGAAACUAAAAUAUAAUCUUUCAACUUUCGGAUUUAGAGUAACUUUUGCUGGGAGUAGGCACAAAAUAUAUACUAAUUAUACAUAUAUGUUGUUCGAUUAGUUUAGGAACGUCUGAUGAAGGGAAAUACAGCGAGAAAAUUCUAAAAUUGUCUAAAACUCAGGCAAAUCAAAUGAACAUAAAUGUCAUGCAUGUACUUAAUCAUCAUGUUUCGUGAGAAAUCAAUGGCUGGACAUCCAAAGAUGGAGCCUUGCCAUUUCUAAAAUCGCCAAUUGUUACUGAAGUAGGAGGCCCAGCAAUUUCCCAUACGGUGGGAACUUCAUCCCUGAUGUUUUCAAGUUCUUUACUACUUUGUUGUGCAUGAAGAGCUCCUUUUGACAGCCCAAUCUGCUCCAACUCUAUCGCGACUUCUCUCAUUGAUGGUCGUUUCCUUCCAUUCAAGUUCAAGCAUCUUCUUGCAAGCUUAGCGACUGCGAUAACUUCUUCUUCACGGUCCUGCCCCAUAAGUCGUUCGUCAAGAAUAUCAAAUAUCUUGUUCUCUACCAUCAAAAGAAUAAAAUGAGUGGCUAAACUUCUCCUGUCUUCCGGCCUUUCAUAAGAAAUUGGUUUUUGCCCACUCAAGAGCUCUGCAAGAACAACACCAAAACUGUAGACGUCACUUUUUCCGGUAAACUGGCUAGACUGGAAGUACUCUGGGUCCAAGUAUCCAAAAGUGCCUUGAACAUGAGUGGUUAGAUGAGUUUGAUCAAUGGCGAUCGAUCUUGAAGUUCCGAAAUCUGAUACUUUUGCUGUGAACUUCUCAUCUAACAGUAUAUUUGUAGACUUGACAUCACGGUGGUAAACCGGAAUGGAUGCUGCGGAAUGAAGAUAAGAAAGUGCCCUAGCAACUUCAGUAGCAAUCCUUAGUCGCAUUUCCCAUGAAAACUCGAACUCCUUCUUCUGGUCAUGAAUAUACUCAAAGAGAUUUCCAUUGGGAAUGAAUUCAUAGACUAGCAGAGGAACCUCCGUCUCUAAACAACAACCUAGCAACUUGACCACAUUUCUAUGAUUGACUUGUGAAAGGAUGACGACCUCAUUGAUAAAUUCUUCCAACUUUUCUUCAUCCACCAUUUUGGAUUUUUUAACAGCAACGAUCAUUCCAUCUGCUAGCAUUCCUUUAUAAACAGUUCCUUGGCCACCCUGACCAAGUAUUCUGUUAUCAUUAAAACGAUCGGUUGCCUUUUCCAGCUCCUUGGAAGGAAAUAUUUUUGUUUUCUGAAUGCUUCCAUCACUUGAUGAUAAUUGUUGCUGCAGCAAUAAACCACCAUUUCGUUUGAAGAACUUCUUCUUCAGUUCAAUGUUCUUCUUUUUUUUUACAAGUUUAUAUAACCGCCAAAUACCAACAAGCAGCAGCAACAAUCCAGUGGCCGCACCUAGAACUGUCAUUGCUCGCAAGGGAAAAAAAAAUAAAAAUUGUUAGAUACAUAUAUUAUAAUUGAACAACAAUCUAUGUCGACAUGGUGGUUAAAUGUUUUGUGGGUUGAGGUAACCUUCUACCGCAUAUUUGUUAUGUAAUUUUUUUUAAUAAAAAUUCUCGUAUGUUAUCGUAUAUUCAUAUGUUUUUCCUUAUAUAUCCUUUCUCACUAUUUUGAACAAAAAAGCCACAACAACCUCCCAAAGAAAAUUUAAUUUUAAAAAGCCUAAAACAAUUACAAAAAUGAAGAAAAAAAGCAUGGAAAGCCUCACAUGAAUUAAAAACAAAUUAAAAAAUUUAUGAUUUACCAUUUUUUAAAAAUAAAAAAUUGAAAAGUGAAAAAAAAAACUUGAAUAAUAUAAAAAAUAAAAAAUUUUCAAGUCAACAAAGCCUCACAACUAGAAAUUAUAUCUAUGGCAACAAAAUAAGUUUUACAGGUUUUGGAUUUUUCAAAAAUUUUAUGAGUUACCAUUUUUAAAAAAAUAUCUAUGUUCUAUUUAAAAUGUUUUGGUAGUCUCCAGGUUUUUUCAUUUUAGGUUUUUUUUUUAAAUAUGUUUUUUUUUAUCUAUUUUAUUUGUUUUAAUUUCAUGUAUUGUUAAGUUUUCAAAACUUAUUUUUUUUACAUUUGAUAUAUUUUAAUACUUACUUUUAAUGUUGGAGGUCUUAGGGCUAUUUUCAUCCAAACAGUAACAAAAGAGUAUACAAGAGAAAAUAUCUAUAUAUCCGUGCAUACAAGUGGAAAAGCGUAAUUAUAGAUAAUUGUACAUUAAGUUUCCAGUUCUUGUCUAUAUUUAAUUAAUUAAAAAAAGAAAGAAAAAGAGAGUGAAAUUAAAAAGAACAGAAUUAUAUCGUAUGCUAUUGUUUACAGGAGAACCAAGGGUAAUUAGAGAAGGGUAAAGAUGUAAAUUAAUAAUUAAGAAAGUGCUGUAUCAUCAUUGCUUCAUUCUAUCCAUUUUGGGGAGAUAAAAAAGGCAGUCAUGGAAGAGAAUUAAUUUUCUCGUAGCUCCCAUUCCAUUCUCUCAGACAAGGGAAAAUAUAUAAUUUCUACUGUCUCCCAAACACAAUUUAUCCUCUAAACCAAUGUUUCAGGUUCCUAUAAAUUACGAAGGAAAAAAGAAUUAAGAGACAGGAACUUACUCAAGAAAGUGAUCUUAGCUUUGUCAAGCUCGCACUUGUACCGCCCCGGCACAUUCACACAUUUUGUCAUCCCCGAACACCAAUUUACCCUGGGAAUUUUGCACUCAUCGAUAUCUGAUUCAGGAAAUCCAAUGAGUAAGUAUAUUCAUGUGAUUGGAGCCAUUCAAAAGUAGAAUGAUAUUGCUUCAACUCUAUUCUAAAGCUUCAGUACUCCAUUAUUUUUUCUUAAAAAAAAUAGAUUAAAUCACAUUAAGCGUGUUCGAAUCAUACCAGUGCAUCCAUCAGGAAGAUACGGAUUGCCAUGAUAGCCAUGGUUGCACUUACAAGUAGUUGAAUUGGAAUACAAUGUUACUGUCCUGAAAUCCCACCCACCAGAACUUGAGUUCAUAGGGCGGCUGCAAGAAUUCUCCACACCUUCAGGGAUGUCAGUACCAUAAUACAUAAACCAAUCCAGGAUAACUGGAACAUAUUGCAUAUAUUGCACCUCCUCGGGACUUGAUAUAUUGUUCUGGAACCAUGCUCUCUCUACUAUAAAAGCUACCUUGCAUCGAUUGCUGCCUUGCUCUGCGUUCCCCAAACUCGCGCUGAACACCUGGAGACUCGAGGGAAUUCUGGUCUGGCAGCAAUUGUUACCAGAACAGUUGCUAUUUUCUUUCCCUUCAGUACUAGCACCGCAAGUUGAUGUCUCAAUGGAUAUUUUCUGGCAGCCCCUUGCGAUGAAGAUAUUUGAGGAAGAGAAGGCGAAAGGACUUCCAGUCAUAUCAAUGGAUAUGUUGGCACCGCUACCAGCACAGCCGGAGGAAAUUAUUGGACUGUUUACUCUAACCCUACGCUUCCCUAAUGGAAUCUCCAAGACCUCCAUGUUGAUUCUUCUUAAGAAAGCCCUGCUGGGAGAAUCCGCAGUUGUUUUGUUGCAAUCAACUGAGAACCAGUCAUUCAUGUAACAACCUGUUCCUAUUCCAAAUGGAAAAGGGAUGCUAAUGUUUCCACAAGUGUCUGCACAAUUAGGCCUCGCGAUAAUUAGUGCUGAUACAGUGGCUAUUUCAGGAACUAGAAAUAGCAGGAAAAAAAUUAGAGAGACACUACGAGGAAUCAUGCCUUCCCUUCUAUUGCAGAUUUAGAUGCUUCUGGAGAUCAAUAAUGGAAGGAGAGAGAGGGGGGGGGGGUGGAUCUUUCUUUGCUCCCUAUAUGUGUGAGGAAAAAAAAUACUAAUUGAGACAGAGAAGACUGCCUUAAAAGAGUAAACGAACUGUCCAAAUCAUUAGAAGCUAAUUGAAUGAAAAGUUCUCUCUCAAUCUAUCUAUAUAUAUAAUAUGGUGGCCUUCCAUAUUUUUUUUUUUGUUUUACGUGGAUGUCCGGGCCAGCUUGGACGUAUCACAACUAAUCUCACGGUCCACUGAAUAUUCUGCAAACCCAAUAAACAUGUAAGGCAUCGCGGGGUGAGAGGCCUUCCAUAUUUUUAAUUCAAGUAGUCGUAGGAUGUUUCUUCCCAGUUUCCAAGCUUCGAUUAAUAAUGUAUAAAUUCCACAAGACAAUAAAUUAAGAUGCUCAAAUUGACGAGUGAUGGUGACUUUAGUGUUGACAUAGCGUGUAGACGACGAUUAAAUCAAUUUUUUUUUUUAUAGAAAAUCUAUAUCAUGGAGAAACUUAACCGAAAUUUCCAACGUGAAAUCUCAAACUUAAGUUAUUGGACUGAGUGUUUCUGUGUGGACACUAAUCCUCAUAUUUUUCUCUCCUCCUUUAUUACAGCAGAAGUUGACAUCGAACGACAUUAUUCUUUGACAAAAUUAAUUUAAAAACUAUUGACUUGCAAAAUCAGCAUAAUUCACACUCUCAUGAUAAAGCAUAUUACAUGUUUAUAUGUUUAAUUCACAUCAAAAUAGUAACAACAGAAACAACAGAGACAAAAGGAAAAGAAAAACAGAGACACACGUGUUUAAUUUAUAGCGAUUCAAGAAACUUUAUUUUUAUUAUACAAUAACAGUAACAACAGGAAAAAUAAUCCCAUUACUCCAUUGUUAUGCCUUCUUAAAUCACCAUGUUUUAUCACAUGAGAUGAUGGAGUCCGGCCACUGUCAAAAUCACCCGUAUCCCAGUCAUUGCUUGCAUCUUUUUGCAAUAUGAGCAACAAAGAUAACUUCUUCGUUUUGAUAGCACUCCUUAACUCUAACAUCAAGAAUAUCAAAGAGUUUAUUAUCUUCCAUCAACAUAAUCAAAUGCAUGGCUAGACUUCUACUUUCUGUUAAGGACUUGCACAAAAUAGAAAGGAUCCCAUAUAAAAGGAAAAAAAAUCAAGGGAUCUAAAAAAACAAAAAGAGCUAAAUCUCUUCCAUGAUUAUGCAAUUUAGUCCUUGAUGUUUGCAAGAAAAGAGGCUCAACACUUGUCUAGUGUUCAAAUCCAGUCCCAAUAGCUUUAAAUUUUUUAAUUCAAUUCAAUUUCGUUUUAUUUUUCUAAAUGGAGCAUCAACCAAGAUUCAGUUUAAUUUCCUGACGUCGUGAGCAUCCAACACUAAGCCCUUUUAGGUUAUUCAACCCUAUAUUACAGAGAAACAUGUAGGGAAGAAUAAGAUAUUUUUCUAAAAAAUCUGAUAUUCCAUAAUUUGAUGGGAAAAAAUAACACAAUGAUUGUCAAUGAAAUGAUAUAUAUAUAUAUUUCACAUGCAUGUCAAUCACACAAGGAACUGUCCAUUCAAACAAAUAAUUUAUUCAAUUUAACAAAAUUCCAGCAAGUCUGUCCUACACGGGAGCUCCAUGCUUAGCAAAUUCAGUCUUACUACUAAAAUUAAGAACUUCAAUCACAAUUAAUCUCCACAUUCAUGUGAAGUAGAAUUCAUAAUAUUUCUUGAGAUUUGUAUCAUUAAUUUAUUUUUACAUAAUUAACAUAUAUUAAAAGGUCUUGACAUGUCAUUGUAGCAAUUAACAAUGAAAUGAUUUGGCCUUUUACAAUCUGGUCCUCAAAGAUUAUUUUUUUUGCAAUUCCAUCCUCUAAUAUUAAGUUUAAUAGAUAUUAGACUUUAUAAUUUGUUUUGAUUUAUAUUUUAUGAGAUUAUCUUGGUCUUAUGAUCCAAGUUUGACAGGUUAAUCCGGGUUAACUCGAGUAAUUUUUUUAUUUUUUUUUUGUAAUUGAUUUGUUUCUCAACUUUAUCCUUCAAUAUUUGGUUGAUUGAGAAUUUGGCUUUAGAUUUCUUUUAUUUACUUUUUCUGGGGUUCUGACGGUCUCAUGACCGGAGUUGCAAGUUUUAGGGGUUAAGCCAAAUUGGCUCCCGUUUUUUUAAUCCUUUUUAAUUCAAUUUCUAUUCAAUUUUGAUCCUUUAACAUUGUGUUGAUUGAAAUUUUGACUUUAUAUUUUUUUUAUUUCAAUGCAUUUAUUUCGGUCUCAUGAUUCGAGUUCGGCAAGUUAACCUGAGUUGACUUGGGAUUUUUUUUGUUUGUUUUCUUAUUCAUUUUUUUUUCAAUUUAAUCCUUCAACAUUGGGUUGACUGAGAAGUGUAUUUCAUUUUUUUAUUUUUUAUGGAGUUAUUAUGAUCUCAUGAACAUGGUCACGCAAUAGCCAAGUUGCCUCAGUUUUUUUUUUUUUUGUCAUUUUUAAUUUUUUUUUAAAAAUUUCAUCCUUUAACAUUAGGUUAAUUAAGAAUAAAACACGUUCACUCAACUUUUAGGGAAAGAAAAAUGAAAAAUUGCUUGAUAUAUUAUUUUUAAAAAAAUAUAUUAUUUUUCCCGGUGGCUUGGGAAAGAAAAAUGAAAGCCACUGGGGGGGGUGCGGCGGUGUUUGGGUAGAGAUGGAUUUUAGGGUUAGGUUUUCCUUUUUUUUUUUGUAUUUUUCUUUUAAAAUUGGUCCCCCCCUUGUGCAAAUGUUGGAAACUUCUAUUUAUAGGCAAAUAUGUUGCUAGGUCUCUAAACUUGGUCACACAACUUUUUUUUUUUUUGUAAAUUUUGUUUUUUUUUUUUACUUUUCUUAUCAACAUCGCCUUAAAUGAGAAACAAUCGGUGAUUUUAAAAAUAACACGUUAAAAGUCAAACAUGUUCUAAAAACCUUUGAAAAUUUAAAUUCUUUUGAGAUGAUGCUAAAAAUGCUAAGAACGAUGAAAAUAUAUUAAAAACAUAUUUUUUGGAUUUUCGUUGUUUUUCUUUAUUUUUAAAUUUUUCUAAAAAUUUAUCAAAACAUGGAUAAAAAAUUGGGUAGCAAAAACACACAUACAAACAUACACACAUAUAUGAAACAAUAAAGGAGUCGUUUAAAUAACAAUUCUUCAAUUUUUAGAAGUAAGAUGGUGGCAUAUACCUGACAUUCCAUUAGUGUGAGUUCCUUCAACUGAGAUAGAAGUAAUAAAGGAGUCGUUAAAGUGGUUUGGGAUACUAAUUGGAGAUGUUUCCUUUAAAAUCAAGAAUGAUGCGGUUGAUCAUUGAAAUACUUCAAUUUAUAGAAGUAGGAUGGUGGCAUAUACUAAUUGAAAUUCUCAUUAUUCCCAACAUCAUUUUAAAAUAUCAAAAUCACAUAAUUUAAUCAAGUUUCCACAUUUCCCCAAAAUCCCUACCAUGUCUGCCCGCUUAUGAUCCCAAAUUUAAAAAAAUUAGUUUUUAAUAUGUUUUAUUUAAUCCUUAGCCAUGUUAUCUAACCCAAAAUUAACCAAUAACUACACUAUGUCACCUUUCCAAAUACAAACACACACAAACCCUAAAUUUCUAAAUUUAAGGUUUUUCUAUCCCCCAUAAAAAUUAACAAAAGUAAGUGCAUAUAGAGCAACAGAAACAUCUUGCCACAAUCAAUUAACCCAAUCGGUUAAUCCCUUUGCAAGAAAUCCCAAAAUGUUCUUUAUAUAGUACAUGUCAAACCUUCUUCUUGUUCUUUAGUUUUAUAUCUUUGUUUUGUUGUCCUUAAACUCCUAGAACACUACUUUUUAAUUCCAACAAAAAACACUAACAUCAACUGAGUUACAAUUUUUUAUUUCCAAUUCUUUCAAGUUUCUUUGUUUUUUUUUUACCGUUAAUUUUUUUUCUUGUUUGGCUGCUACAGAAAGAAGAGAAGAAAGAUUGUAAAUUCAUUGUUUAGAAGUCGAAAAAAAAUAAAUUUCAGAAUCAUAGGAAUUUAAUACUUCAAGAAGGAGGUUAUCCUUUUGAAAUCGAAUUCCUAUUCCAAAUGGAAAAGGGAUGCUAAUAUUUCCACAAGUUUAUGUAGGAUUUGGAGUUGGGAUGUUUCUUCCCAACUUCCAAGCUUUGAUUAAUAAUGUUUAAAUUCCACAAGACUAUAAAUUAAGAUUCUCAAAUUGAGUGAUGGUGACUUUCGUCUAACCAAUUCAAAGACGAGGAGUCCAAAACUAAAGAGAAUAGCGUGUAGACGACGAUGCUAUGAAUAAAACAGGGGAAGAAAAGUCGUUUCUCUAGAGUGCAUGCCAAGAUCUUAUUAUAAUGUGGAAUAUCUAGAAAUAGUAGAUAAGACUCAGAAUGAACAUAUCCUUAGAAAUCUAUUUAAAGUGAAUGAAAGCUUUAAUUGAUUAUGGGCUAAAACAUCUCUCUUCAGUUUCCACAUGAGAAAUUACGAAGGAAAAGUAUACAUUUGGGAGGGAAUUAACCAGGCGCGCAGAUGCAGCCAACGACUUUGCAUGCAUGCCAACUGAGAUAGCAGAUCUUCUAGAGGUGUUCUACAUGUUUUUUUUUUUUUUCUUGCUUUGAAAAAUAAAAACCGGAAAGAAAGAUCUAGGAAAGUAGUUUUCGUAACAGCCAACGACUUUGCAUGCAUGCCAACUGAGAUAGCUUUCACAUUCGUGAUUGGCCUAUAUAUGCCAUCAUUUCACAUUCAACCCACAUAAUCCCAUAUCUAGAAAUUCAAUUCAUCAAGAAUGUAGACGACGAUGCUAUGAAUAAAACAGGGGAAGAAAAGUCGUUUCUCUUGAGUGCCAAGAUCUUAUUAUAAUGUGGAAUAUCCAGUAGAUAAGUACUCAGAAUGAACAUAUAUUUAGAAAUUAAUCAGCAAUCAGCUAGCAAACCUAAUUCAAAAAGAGAUUGGAAGAUUGUGUUUAGUUAAUGUUAUAGGAUGUAAUGAACAUAUACAAAAGGGAUAGAAAAAUCACCAAAUCAAAGUUCUCCUUAUUAAUUCAAGUGUUUUGUUUUAAAAAAUUCUAACAAGAAUAGUGUCCGACUUGCAGUGACGAAGUACAAUUACUUAAUAAUUUAACUAUUUUAUUAUCAUAGAAUUUUAAAUAAUCUAGGAGGAAGCUACAAUUUUUUUCUUCUGUUUUACUUUUCAAUAAAAAAUAAUAAUCCAUUAUAACUCUUAAAUUAAAUCAAUUUUUUUUAUAGAAAUUCCAUAUCAUGGAGAAACUUAACCGAAAUUUCCAACGUGAAAUCUCAAACUUAAGUUAUUGUACAGAGUGUUUCUGUGUGGACAUAUAAUUUGGACCCAAAAAUCACAAUUCUAUCAUUAACCAUGUAUGCUUUCGGUUCCUUAGUUAGAGAUUAGCACCCGUGAACAGUAGCAUGAGCACCGAUGAUACCAGCAGCAACAAUAACAAGUUCAGUAAUUGCUCCUUAUUUGGAUAAUGGAUAUCCGAAACUCAAUUAGGUAUUCAAGAUUUAUAUCCGUUAGGGUUUAGGGGGAUAAUAUGACUCCUUAAUUGCAUAGGCGGGAGCGGGACUCUCUGGCCCUUGUUGGACCUCCAAUCAUUGGUGGAUCUAUGUUGCCCGCAAAGAGAAAUCACCUGUGAUUAGUUGGGCUUCCGGCCCCUUAUAUUUAAACAGUGAUGAGCUCACAGCCAUCUGGCCCAUUUAGGCUUUGUCCAAAGAGAUAAGUGUGGAGUUGAAACCGGGUUUUACUUUACCCGACUCAAAAUGUCUCCAUCAUAGAUUUUUUUAUCAUCUGUCCAUACCUCCAAUCUAGUGAAGUCGGGUUACAUGGAUGACUUUCUAGUAUCCAUCAAAAACCCGAUCUGGUCUACGUGUUUUUUUAUAAAAAAAUUAAUUUUAUCAAAAAAAUAAUCUAUUUUUGUAAAACAAACCGAAUCAUAAAAUAAAAUAAUUUUUUUUAUAUAAAAAACAUUUAAAUUAUCAUUAAAGUACCUUAAAUAAAAAUUCUAAUUAAGUUUUUUCUAUUUAUAUAGAUUGUUAUUCAAAUCAACAAUAAAAUAAAUCAUAAAAAAAAACCCAAAUAACCAAAAUAAAACAAAAGGAUUGUAAAAUUAUUAUUAUUACAAUUUACAGUAAAAUAUCUUGAAUAUCAUUGGUUGAUAUUUAUUGAUGGGAUUUUAUAUUUAUGACAAAAUAUCUUGAAUAUUUCAUCACAGGUGUAACUUUUUUAUUGGCUAAAAAAUAUAUAAAGACUCAUUUAUUUUUCACGUUAUUUAUUUAAAUUUUAUUUUAUUUUUUCUUUUAAAGAAUAAAAUAAUACAUGGAAAAAUUUAAUUAAUAGAAAAUUUAUGUUUCUAGAUAUAGUUUAUCUGUGUUGUAAGUUUUUUGAUGAAUGAAAUUAUUAUUCAAUGAACGAGAAAGAGUAUCGACCUGCUACAAAGCUAUAAUUUGUCUUCUUGAUUUAGCAAAAUCAUAAUUUGUCACAGAAAACCGCUCCCUCUAUUUCAAAGAUAUUGUUCACCUUUCAGUCCUAAAAUUAUAAUCCAUGAUCAUUAAAAAAAUUAAGCAAUUAAUUACUUGAUUUUACUAUAUAUUAUACCUCUAAUUAUAAUUUAUUUUAAUUCUUCCACUCAAGAUUCUCUCUUAUUUACUUUCAAAUGAUGAAUAAAAUAAUUUGAAAUAAGAUACGUAAAUAAUUGCUAUGAGGGAAUGAUAGCUUGUUAACUCUUUAGACAUUUUCUAGAUAUAGUUUAUCUGUACUGUAAGUUUUUUGAUGUAUGAAAUCAUUAUUCAAUGAAGGAUCGACCUGCUACAAAGCUAAACAAAAAGAAAGCCACCUAUUCAGACAAACAUUUGUGCUUGACAAAUUGCAGUUUUCCACCAUUUGUGUUUGACAGUGCAAAGAACAGCUUGAGAAAUGCUGUUAACAUCCAGAGUUUCUUUGCACACCAAGAAACACCAAGAGGAAGACCUUUUCUGCUGGUUCUGGAUUGCUCAGUCAAUUUCCCGGCUGCCAAUUGCAUGUUAAUUUAGCACCUGUGCUUUCUUCAAACCAAUUCACAAAAUAAUUGCAAACCAGUACAUCUGCGCGAAGUCUGGGCAGGCAACCUCGUAUAUGAGUUUUUUCUAAUCAAGGAAGCGAUCUCUCGCUUCCCCUUGGUUGCUUUGGACACAGAAUUCCCUGGUACUUUCUUUCAAUUAAAUCGUGACAAGAGCUCGCUGUCUCAUGCCACUCCCUACGAAAACUACUGUCUCAUGAAGUGGAAUGUUGAUCUCUUGAAAAUAAUUCAACUUGAGAUGACUCUUUCUGAUUCACAUGGAAAUCUUCCAAGUUUCGGAACAGAAUUCCACUAUGCGUAGCAGUUUAUUUUCCGGGAUUUCAAUAUCGAGCACGAUCAUCACAAUGAAGAGUCUAUUGGGUUACUUGAACGCCAAGGUACUGAUUUGAAGAAGAACAGAGAGAAGGGUAUUGAUUCCUCAGAUUUUGGGAGGCUGAUUUUGAGUUAUGGACUUGUUUCCAAUAAUUCUUCAAUAACUUGGAUUACUUUUCAUGGCGCUUAUGAUUUUGGAUUCUUGAUCAAGAUUUUAACUAAAAGAGAGUUGCCAAGUGAUAUGCGGUCUUUUUUGGGGAUGAUGAGGUUCUUCUUUGGGGUUCGAGUUUAUGAUACAAAAUUCAUGAUGGGAUGCAUUAGUGGCUUGCACGUUGGAUUGGAGAGGGUGGCUAUGUUACUUGGUAGGAUCUGAUAGCUUGUUAACUCUUCAAACAUUCGUGAGAUUCAAGGAGUCGUGUGCUAAAAUUGAUCUCGAGAAAUUGAAUUGCUAUGAGGGAAUGAUGUUUGGACUGUGUGAAGGCUGGUUAGGGUUCACUUACGCACCUGAUACAUUCAUGGGCAGCACUCUAGUUUGAAGGAAUAUCAAUGGAGUUGUACUCUCAGGUCUAGCAAAUAUUCAGUGUCAUCGUCAUCUCUCUCUUUUUUUUUUUUUUGCUUAAACUUUUUAAUCCAAGUUCCUUGAUUAGCUAUAUAUUCUGAUUUGUUUUGCAUUAAUUCAAGUUUGCCUUAAAGCCAGAUCUCGCAUUGAUUUGUCAGAAAGAGUAAUGAGAAAGCCUAUAACAGCAAUAGUCAUAGCAACUAGCUAGGGACUUGAGCUACAGUAGCUUUGCUUAGAUAUACCUGCAGGCAAAAAAAUGUAUAAUUAAUUGUUAUAAAGUAGAUGUUCAUAAUGCAUCGAUUAUCACCAGCAGUACGUAGAGGUUAUAUGAAAUUGACCAAAUAAGAAGUGGUUGAGGCAUGGGUACAGUAAGGAAAUUAUAACUCAGGCAUGGGUACGCAUUGUUUUGGCAUGCCAUGUAAACAAACGGUAUCAAAUCAAGAGCUAAAAGCGAAGCAGCAACAUAAAGUCUUUUCUUAAACAGUAACUUUACCGACGCACCCAAGGUAAGGGUUGCCCUUAUAACCAUUCCGGCAAGAACAUUCCUGUGCAUGGGCAGAGCCAGAAAGUUUUUCUAUUAAAUAAAUAUAUAAAUUUUUUAUAAAUAUUUUUUAGGAUAAAUUAUUAUCUUAUGCAUAUGAAUUUUUAAAGUUAACAGUAAAGUUUUAAUUUAAAUAUACAACCUAAAAUAUUAAAAAAUAAAUUUAAAAUACAUAAAAUUGAAGCGAAAGUAAAAAUAAACUCAUUAUUAAAGUUAUAAUAUCCUUUAAUAUUUUGUAGAAUAUAAUUCAUUUAUGAUCGAAUCUGAAUCGAUAUUGUAACAACCCCUUAACCGAGAUAAAAUAACAAUCUCAUGUUAACUGGAAAACAAAGUAAUUAAUUUUUUCCCUCUCUCAAUUCCUCCUUCCUUCACUUGAUUUUUUCUUAGUUUAAUAUUUUAUAAGUUUGACUUUGUAAAUUUACAAGAUUAGUCUCUCAUUUUUUUUUUCCCUUACUUUUCUCUCUUUGUCUCUCGCCUUUUCUUUUUUUUUUCUUUUUCUAUUAUGCCUGCCCGAUUGUCAACAUAUCAAAGGAAGGAAGAGCUAAUUUGUUUUAUUUUUUAAUGAUAAAUAAUCAUUUUACCGUUAAUGAGUCGUUUUGCUUUUAUUUGACGGUUUUUUUUUGUUAGCACUCAAGCCUCGUUCAUCCUAAAAUUUUAAGUAAAUUUUAUUCAAUAUAGUUUAAGAUCCUUCGUAAAAUUUAAGCUCAAUCCGAUGGUUGUAUUGAGAAUUACGCGUAAUAACAUAAAAAACUAGUCAAAUUGUGAUUUUUCAUCAAAUUUUUGAAUUUCUUCAAAAAUUCUGAAAUUUUAACCCAAUUUAAAAUAUUAUAUUAGAAGACUCCACGUAAAUUUUCAAAAAAAUUUAAUAACUCAAUCGAAAAUUAUAAAUUUUUUCAUAUAUAAAACUAGUAAAAAAAUAUUGAUAAAAUCUUAACUUAGAAACCCACCCAAACCUUUAACAUGCCUUCACCCCUGGUUGUAGAGCUUUCAAAUGGUGCAUUUUUUGCACCUUGAUAAGCUCAGGCUGCCGUAUAAUUUCGACCAGAUAGUCGGUCUCUAGAGAUCAAAACAUACAUGGUUUGGCGAGGUCCUAGCAUGAUGAGUGAGGUGGGAAAGGGCUUAGGCAUCAUCACUAACAACUGUGAACAUAUGGUUGGUUAUGGCGAAGAAAAGUAACUGAGUGGCUGCAACAUUGAUGACUCGGAAGAGGCAAAUUUGACUCACCAGAGUUUUUUUUUUUGGUUUUUUUUUUUUUAAUCCUACCUGGGCUACAGCCCAACGGAGCCUUGUGAAAGGCUCCGCCCUUGUUCGUAUGCUAAAGUCAAAGAGUGCUGAAGAAGGAAAUAUUUGCAACUCGUGGUCUUGGGGUCAUAUUUCCAAAGCUUGUAAUCCAUCACCCAAGCCAGCACCACCGGAACAUAUGCCCGAUCAUGAAACACUUGCAGAUUGUUUAUAUCGGAGAACGCAACCCAUUCUUGGUCUGCUAGGAAAGUAAGCUUGCAUCCACUGCUGUCUUGACUCUCACUUUUAAUUAGUUUCUAGACUUGGAUUAAAAACCUGCAUCCUGAAAGGAGCUCUGGCUACGCAGCAGUGCUUACCAGAACAGAGACUAUCAAUUUCUUGCCCAAAAAUAAUGGCUGUAUGAUUAUAGUAGGGAACGCAUGUUGAGUCGCAUCCACUGACUUGGGGCCCAAUCUCUGUCAAUAGAGCACGGAUGUUGCAGAUUACUGAAGGAGAAAAAGAAAGGACUUCCCUCCAAGUUCAUCGGAUUGCCUACCGGAACAACUGGAGGACAUAAUUGGACCUUUGACAACGGCAGAGCACCAUCUCCAAUAUUCAGAAAAAAAAUUAAUUCAGUAACACGUUGCUAAAAUAACGGUUGAUACUUGAUACUAUCUCAAGAUACAAAAAUGAUGGACAUAGUUUGGAUAAAAGAGACAUGUUUCAUGUUUUUCUUGAAUCGAUUUUAAUCGAGAUUUUUUUUCUUUACCAUGAGAAUUUAGCCAUUCUUUUAAACUGAGACCAAUAAAUAAAGAAAAUGAAGUUUAUGACUGAAAUUGAAUUUUAUAAAUUAUUAAGAACUAAAAGUUUAUAAUUUAAAAAUUAAGAAUUAAAAUAGACAAAAUUUAAUAACUAUUAUUGAAACUAAAAUAUAGUCUUUCAACUUUCGGAUUUAGAGUAACUUUUGCUGGGAGUAGGCACAAAAUACUAAUUAAACAUGUUGUUCGAUUAGUUUAGGAACGUCUGAUGAAGGGAAAUACAACGAGAAAAUUAUAAAAUUGUCUAAAACAUGCAAAUCAAAUGAACAUAAAUGUCAUGGAUGUACUUAAUCACCAUGUUUCGUGAGAAAUCAAUGUUUGGACAUCCAAAGAUGGAGCCGUGCCAUUUCUAAAAUCGCCAAUUGUUACUGAAGUAGGCCCAGCAAUUUCCCAUACGUUGGGAACUCCAUCCCUGAUGUUUUCAAGUUCUUUACUACUUUGUUGUGCAUGAAGAGCUCCUUUUGACAGCCGAAUCUGCUCCAACUCUAUCGCGACUUCUCUCAUUGUUGGUCGUUUCCUUCCAUUCAAGUUCAAGCAUCUUCUUGCAAGCUUAGCGACUGCGAUAACUUCUUCGUCACGGUCCUGCCCCAUAAGUCGUUCGUCAAGAAUAUCAACUAUCUUGUUCUCUUCCAUCAAAAGAAUAAAAUGAGUGGCUAAACUUCUCCUGUCUUCCGGCCUUUCAUAAGAAAUUGGUUUUUGCCCACUCAAGAGCUCUGCAAGAACAACACCAAAACUGUAGACGUCACUUUUUCCGGUAAACUGGCUAGACUGGAAGUACUCUGGGUCCAAGUAUCCAAAAGUGCCUUGAACAUGAGUGGUUAGAUGAGUUUGAUCAAUGGCGAUCGAUCUUGAAGUUCCGAAAUCUGAUACUUUUGCUCUGAACUUCUCAUCUAACAUUAUAUUUGUAGACUUGAUAUCACGGUGGUAAACCGGAAUGGAUGCUGCGGAAUGAAGAUAAGAAAGUGCCCUAGCAACUUCAGUAGCAAUCCUUAGUCGCAUUUCCCAUGAAAACUCGAACUCCUCCUUCUGGUCAUGAAUAUACUCAAAGAGAUUUCCAUUGGGAAUGAAUUCAUAGACUAGCAGAGGAACCUCCGUCUCUAAACAACAACCUAGCAACUUGACCACAUUUCUGUGAUUGACUUGUGAAAGGAUGACGACCUCAUUGAUAAAUUCUUCCAACUUUUCUUCAUCCACCAUUUUGGAUUUUUUAACAGCAACGAUCAUUCCAUCUGCUAGCAUUCCUUUAUAAACAGUUCCUUGGCCACCUUGACCAAGUAUUCUAUUAUCAUUAAAACGAUCGGUUGCCUUUUCCAGCUCCUUGGAAGUAAAUAUUUUUGUUUUCUGAAUGCUUCCAUCACUUGAGGAUAAUUGUUGCUGCAGC
rnacentral:lncRNA from 1 species